rnacentral:lncRNA from 1 species
UCCUUGCAUCUGCCGUGGACCCAGCUGUCAGCCUCUGCACGUACAGUACUCUUCCGAUGGAAGUCGUUCCUUGACCACGUUGACCACGCCGCGCCGAGAGCACCCGGUGGACGACGGCGAGGCCUAGGAAGGGGACGACGCGGAGCCGGGGAAGACGCGGCAGUGGAAGCCGCGCAGAGAGGAGUACGAGGGUUCACUGGUUCGGCUGUGGUGUGAGGCUGCCGUCGCCGCAGGGCUUGAUCAGCGGUGGGAAUAGUAGGGGGCGGUGAGGCUUCCGCGGCAGCACAGCCGGCCUCGGGAGGCAGGAGCAUGCGGCACGAUCGACGCUAUUUUGGGCGGCUGGAGCAAGAAGAUCAGAGGUUGAAGAAGCACUAUACGGCUGUUGGAUGGAAAUCAUACGACCACUGGAGCUAGAAUCGUUCAUAUUGACUAAGUUGACAAAGCCCUCCGUCCCCGUCAACUUAGUAGGCCCACAAGUCAGCCUCCCACCAAGGAGGGUCCCAGCUAGCAGGGGGUGUUCAUUUUUUUUAAGGGGGCACUUCUGGUGGGUCCGAGCUGACAGAGGGGGGAACUUUUUUUUUGUGAAAUACGGUGGCCCGUCCGGUGGGUCCCAGCAAUCAGGGGGAAACAUUUUUUUUGCGAAAUACGGCGGCCCGUAUGGUGGGUCCCUGCUGUCAGGUGGAGGAAUAAUUAUUUUGUGCAUAAUAAGGAGGCACUUCCUUGCGGCUGCCGUGGACCCAGCUGUCAGCCUCUCCACGUAUAGUACUCUUCCGAUGGAAGUCGGUCAUUGACCACAUUGACCACACCACGCCGAGAGUACCACGGCGGUGGACGACGGCGAGGCCUAGGAAGGGGAUGACGCGGAGCCGGGGAAGACGCGGCAGUGGAUGCCCACGCGGAGAGGAAUACACGUCAACUUCUUUUUUAGGGGACGCGUCAAGUUAGUAGGCCCACAAGUGUGUGACAGAGAACUUAUAGCCCAUUUCCAGUUUGUAAGAAUGUACAACCCAUUUACAGUUUGUUAAAAGUACAACCCAUUUUCUAGCUAGGACAACGAUUAAUAAUUUCUACCUACCGUUCAAGACAGAAUUCAAUAAAAUCUCCCACUUUUCGAUGGGAUCCGAAAUAUUUUUAUCCCGAAAUUUCUAGUCAGAUCAUAUAUAAAUUUGUAUUACAUAAAAAUCCAACGAAACAUUGCGCGCGCAACAAUUUAAAAUUAAGAUUUUCAAAAUCCAUAAAUAAUAUUUUAGAAACUAAUUUCAUGUUUCGUGUAUUUUUUUAUAGUUACUGCCCAGUUUUUAUAAUUACAUCCCAUUUAUUAUUUUUUAAAGCCCAUUUUCCUGUUAAGCCUAAUGCAUCCCUCCUAGGAAAGAUUUGCAGCCCAGCGGGGCGGAGAAUAACAAGUUGGCCUUGCGUGGGUAUUCCUCAAAAAAAGUAUAGCUGGGCUAGCCAAUUUCAUCUUGAAAAAAAUUAAUAUCUGGGCUGGAUAUUUGGCCUUGGCUAGAUGGGCCACAGCCCGCCCAGUUAAUACCCUGCUCUCCUCUGAACAACAAUGAAAACAUCGCCAAGAAAAGCUCUGCAGUGCUCACACCUCAAAAACACAAAUACUGCUCGAGCUGCUUGGUCCCAACUGUCGGCCGCACCAUGUGCAAUUCUCUCGUUUAUAUUGACUACAUAGGUUGACAAUGGUGUGGGACCGUGAUGUCAGGAAACCAGGAGGAAGCAAAAAAAUAUAGUUGUACAUAAUAAGGAGGCACUUGCGUACAUGGGGCUGGCUGGACGCACCUGUACGCGUCCAUGCCGCCGAUCGCCACGCGUCGGCCAUCUGUCCUCCCCCACGGUGCCUACUUGACACCCCCGAGCCCCCCUCGUCGAACCCUAGCUUGCCAUUCCCCUCCCCUCGCGCCGUUUUUCUUCCUCCCCAUGACAAGCCGAAGCUCCGUCGCCAUGGUCAUCACAAACCUCGCGCCCACCGUCGUCUCCGCCACCUAGGACUGCACCGGGAGCUCCGCCACGUCGUUCUCAUCGAACCAAAGCUGCGGAUCGGGCUGAUGAGCUUUGCCUCGUCUGGAUCGACCUCGUCAACACCACCGGUCCCCGAAGCUCCCCUUCUCUGAUUCGCCUGCUCCCGACCUCCCCCGACGCGUCUGAGCAUGCCCACAGCUCCUUGGUGAGCUCACGCACCUCCUCCCUCUCCUAUGUUUCUUGCAUGCAUCCUCUAUGUGGGUUCCCCGCAUCACCGCCAUAGCCGCUCCACUGUGCCUCACCGCCGUUACUCCUCUGGUGACUGUAUGGUCUGGCCACGAGUGUCGCUAGUCUCGUGCUGGACUCCUGAUUCGAACAUGCCUCGCUGCUCCCCUCGUUCUCGAGCCGUAGCACAAGCCUCGCCGGAGCCGAAGCACCGCCUCUGCCCAUGAUGAAGCUAUGUACCUAGGGUAGGGUCAUGGACCUGUCCAAACUACCCUACCCAAGGACAUCUCUAGAAGAAACCACCUGUCAGUCGACCUAGAGGUGUUCCACUCGACAGACUCGAGGACACUCGACCAUGAAGAUAACCACUCGACCAUGAAGCUAACCACUCGACGGCCAGGAGAUCUAAAUUCACUCUGCAUGCAAUGGUCUGUCAUUAAGUAGCCUUUAUGGUCUUCAUAGCACUUUAUGUGGGCGUUACCAGUAACCCCCUGUCUUAAUGUACUUUAAACCCUGCAAAACUGAGGGUCGGAGGGGUCUGGCGAACUCUAUAUAAGCCACCCCCCUCCUCAGUGUGAAGGGUUCGCACCCCUGUAACUCACACGCAUAUAAUCCAGUCGACCGCCUCCGGGCACCAAGACGUAGGGCUAUUACUUCCUCCGAGAAGGGCCUGAACUCGUAAAACUCUUGCAUGUACAACUACUCCAUAGCUAGGAUCUUGCCUCUCCGUUAGUACCCCCCUACACUACUGUCAGAUUUAGAACCACGACAGUUGGCGCCCACCGUGGGGCAGGUGUCUUAGCGACUUAUUGGAGAAGUUGGAAUUUUUUCUGAUCUCCUUCAGCAUGGUUUCAGGCGAAGUUUUGGUUGAGGGCCGCGAGAUCCGUCUCGGCGUGCUCACGUUCAUCGCCGACGACUCUGCCUGGCUUCAGGAGGCUCCGCUCGACGUCGACGCGCUCCCAGUUCGCGGAGCGACGCACUUUCGCGCGUGCAUCCGCGGCAUCCUCAUGCGGCAACCGUCGACCCAAUAUCAACCGGUUUUUGUGUCAUCCUCCCUCCCUGCUUCCCGACGGUGCAAGCGCUCCGGUCGGUCGAGGCUUCAGCGGUGGUUGAGGCACGCGGUGGCUCGCCAGUCGACCACCGCCCAAGUCGCGGCAAUCGAGCCCGACGAAUCUCUCUACGGCCUGUUUGACCUGUAGGCUGGCUCCACAGAGACUGCAUCCGAGUGCGACAGCAGUGAUCCAGCGGUGGAGGUCCUGAUGGUCAAUGGACCACACGGUCCCCCCAGUUUUUCCGGCACCGGAGGAGGCAACGGUGGAGGCGAUCCGUCGCACGACCAUGAAGAGUACAUUCCCGAGCCCCUCAAUUCGCUGCAGAAACAUGGAUGCACUUCACACUCCUAUCGUUGGAGAAACCCCUCAGGCUCGCGCCUUAGAGGAUGCGCGCCUGGCCAACUUGGCUGAGUGCAGUCGACUGGAGAACCUUCAGCGGGCACUCGACGAGCGUGCGCGGCAACGGGUUCCAGACUCCAGUCGACGUCAGAUCUUUCCACCAUCGACUCAGGUAUAUCGAACUCCGAUUUAGAAUCUAGCAGCUGCAGCCUGUAUAACAGAGUCAAUUCAGCCUUCCCAGUCGAAGGCUGACAGAGGCUUGAUGCAGAUCAGAGAUUUGCUCCGCGCAACAAGAGAUCAGAAAUCAGCUGUAUCACAGUCGCGGAACAGGAUUCACAGCAGAUCCGUGGCUGCGAAUACAGUCCAGUCGGCUCAUAGCCCCAGAUCGCCCCCGAGGCGUGAGGGGCGUGGAGACCGGCACGAUCAGUACAAGAACCGUGAGCAGUAUGAUCACCGAUUCGAUCGCGAUGAUCGAUGUCGAGUUCCCACCCCUCCCCCAAGGGGUGGAUCCUACGCUCCUCGAUAGCAGGAUGAUAGACGCCAGCAGAGUGGUGGGUGAAGGAUUCCAGUCGACCCCAGGGAACCAGGCUUUGAUGCGAGGUCCAUCAUCGUUCAAGGUCUGGUCGACCGGAACAGAGCUCAUAGAGAGGGUCACGAUACAGAUGUACCCACCAGAAGCCGAGUGCAUGUCUCAGGACCAGAGUGUUUCAGCAGAGCCAUCAGGGCUGCAGUGAUUCCCCCCAACUUCAGGUUGGCGACUGGAGUCAGUAAGUUCAAUGAUGAGUCUAAGCCUGAUACUUGGCUUGAAGACUACCGAGUGGCUGUCCAGAUCGGCGGCGGAAAUGAUGAGGUGGACAUGAAACAUCUGCCUCUUAUGUCGGAGGGAUCGGCCAGAGCAUGGUUGAAUCAGUUGACACCUAGCAGCAUUUACACGUGGGAAGAUCAUUCCCGAGUGUUUAUCAGAACGUUUGAAGGAACAUGCAAGCGACCAGCAGGACUGACAGAGCUGCAAUCUUGUGUGCAGAAGUUGAAUGGGACUUUGAGAGAUUACAUCCAAAGAUGGAUCACAUUACAUCACACGAUAGAGAAUGUAUCUGAUCACCAGGUAGUCUGCGCCUUCAAGGAAGGCGUUAAGUACAGAGAGCUAAGCCUGAAAUUCGGUCAAACCGGAGACAUGUCUCUGAGUCGAAUGAUGGAGAUAGCCACUAAAUAUGCCAAUGGUGAGGAAGAGGACCGGCUCUGGAGUGGCAAGCACAAGUCAGUCGCCCAGGAAACCAGAGGAGGGAACUCCAGUCGGAAGCAAAAGCGGAAAGCCGAGCCAGCUGCUCCUGGAGAAGCCUUGGCCGUGACUCAAGGAAAGUUCAAAGGAAAGCCCAAAGGGCCUUAGAAAACCAAGAAAGUGAAGGAUAAAGAGGGAAAUGACGUGAUGGAUUUACCGUGUCACAUCCACACAAAGAAAGAUGAAGAGGGUAAUUUCAUUUAAGCGAAGCAUACCACUCGACAGUGUCGACUCCUGAUACAGCAGUUCCAGGGGAAACAGUCCAAGGAUAAGGAAAAAGAGUCGGACAAAGUUGAGGACAAGGGGGAUAGUGACGAGGAAUAUCCUCAGGUCAAUUCCACUCUGGUGACUUUUGCUGACGUUGAGAGCAAAAGUCGACUGAAAGUUAUAAACCGAGAGGUGAAUAUGGUUGCUCCGGCGACACCCAAUUAUCUGAAGUGGUCUCAGACGGCCAUCACAUUCGACCAGUCUGAUCACCCGACGCACAUAGCCACCCCUGGGAGGCAAGCUCUGGUGGUCGACCCAGUCAUCGAAGGCACUCGACUGACUAAAGUGUUGAUGGAUGGCUGCAGUAGUUUAAAUAUACUGUACACAGAGACGCUGAAAGGGAUGGGCAUUCCGAUGUCCAGACUCAGCACAAGCAACAUGAGUUUCUAUGGAGUCAUUCCUGGCAAGAAGGCCGCGUCACUCGGCCAGAUUGCUCUCGAUGUGGUUUUUGGUGAUUCCAAAAACUUCCGCAAAGAAAAGUUGACAUUUGAGGUUGUGGAUUUCCAAAGUGCCUAUCAUGCUAUUUUGGGCAGGCCAGCUUAUGCACGCUUUAUGGCUCGACCAUGCUACAUGUACCUCAAAUUAAAGAUGCCUGGCCCCAAAGGUGUGAUCUUUGUUACUGGAAACCUGAAGAAGGCGGAAGAGUGCUUUUAGAAAGGCUCAAAGAUCGCCGAUGCUCAGAUGGUAGCAGAAGAGUGGCAGGAACACCAGAGAAAUGCAGACCCAAGUGAUUUGUUGCGAGCCAAGAAGCCCGCCACGGAAUCAGCGUUUCAGUCGUUCGGUGAGAGAAGAGUGGCAGGAACACCAGAGAAAUGCAGACCCGAGUGAUUUGUUGCGAGCCAAGAAGCCCGCCACGGAAUCAACGUUUCAGUCGUUCGGUGAGACAAAACCAGUUCACAUCCACACGACCGACCCCAAUGCUGCUCCGACCAAUAUCUCCACAACACUCGACCCCAAAUAGGAAGAAGCGCUCAUCCAGUUCCUCCGUGAGAACUGGGACAUGUUUGCAUGGAAACCUUCUGACAUGCCAGGUGUACCCAGGGGGCUGGCUGAGCUCCGUCUGCGAGUCGAUUCAAAGGAAAAACCUGUCAAGGAACAUCUACGACUGUCCACCGUCCAGAAAAGGAAGGCUAUUGGCGAAGAGGUGGCCCGGCUCUUAGCAGCGGUGUUUAUCCGAGAGAUUUACCACUCCGAGUGGCUCGCCAAUGUAGUCAUGGUCCCCAAGAAGGACAAGUCACUUCGCAUGUGCAUUGACUUUAAACAUAUCAAUCGGGCCUGCCCGAAAGAUCAUUUUCCUCUUCCCCACAUCGACCAAAUAGUCGACUCGACUGCGGGAUGUGAGCGACUGUCUUUCUUAGACGCCUAUUCCAGGUACCAUCAGAUCCGUCUGUAUGGACCCGAUGAGAUCAAAACAGCUUUCAUCACCCCAUUCGGGGGCUUCUAUUAUGUCACCAUGCCAUUCGGCCUCAAGAAUGCCGGAGCCACAUUCAUGAGGAUGAUUCAGGAGUGUUUGCUCACUCAAAUCAGUUGGAAUGUGGAAGCAUACAUGGAUGACAUUGUGGUCAAGUCACGGAAAGGUUCCGACCUGCUGACUGACCUUGCUGAAACAUUUGCCGACCUCAGGAGGUAUGAUAUCAAGCUUAAUCCAUCCAAGUGCACAUUCGGAGUUCCUAGCGGAAAAUUACUAGGUUUUCUCGUUUCCGAACGAGGAAUCGACGCAAAUCCAGAGAAAGUGGGCACUAUACUCCGAAUGAAAAGACCUGUGUGUGUGCACGAUGUUCAGAAGCUUACUGGUUGCUUGGCUGCUUUAAGUCGAUUCAUCUCUCGUCUCGGUGAAAAGGCAUUGCCUCUUUACCGACUGAUGAAGAAGUCAGACAAGUUCGAGUGGACUCCUGAAGCUGACGCAACGUUUGUAGAGUUAAAAACCCUACUUUCCACCCAGCCGGUGCUUGCUGCCCCGAUCAACAAAGAGCCUUUGCUGCUUUAUAUUGCAGCCACAGGACAAGUUGUCAGUACAGUACUUACGGUCGACCGGGAAGAAGAAGGGAAAGCCUUCAAAGUUCAGCGCCCAGUAUAUUAUAUUUCUGAAGUCCUGACCCCAUCAAAGCAAAGAUACCCUCAUUAUCAAAAGCUUGUAUAUGGGAUUUACAUGACCACAAAGAAAGUUGCUCACUAUUUCUAUGACCAUACCAUUACAGUCGUCAGCGACGCCCCAUUAUCAGAAAUUCUGCACAAUAGAGAUGCAACUGGUCGAGUGGCAAAAUGGGCGAUUGAACUCCUUCCCUUGGAUGUCAGAUUUGAGGCAAAGAAAGCUAUCAAGUCCCAAGCAAUAGCAGAUUUCCUCGCCGAGUGGACUGAACAGCAAUUGCCGACUCAAGUUCACUCAGAGCACUGGACCAUGUUCUUUGAUGGCUCUAAAAUGCUGAAUGGUUACGGUGCCGGGGUAGUGUUGGUUUCCCCCCGAGGAGAUAAGCUUAGAUAUGUACUCCAGAUUCACUUUGAAUCCUCCAACAACGAAGCAGAAUAUGAAGCACUUUUGUAUGGGUUGCGUAUGGCCAUUUCACUCGGCGUCCGUCGCCUCAUGGUCUACAGCGACUCAGAUUUGGUGGUUAACCAAGUGAUGAAGGAGUGGGACGUCAGAAGCCCAGCUAUGACAGGUUACUGCAACACAGUAAGAAAGCUGGAGAAGAAAUUCGAGGGGUUAGAGCUUCAUCAUGUACCCCGACUAAAAAAUCAAGCAGCUGAUGACUUGGCGAAGAUAGGUUCCAAGAGAGAAGCCAUCCCUAGUGGCGUGUUUUUGGAGCAUGUCCACGCGCCGUCAGUUCAAGAGGAUCCUUUCACCGAAGAAGCCCCGCAGCCAAAAAGUGCCACGGAUCCGACUGAAGUUGAGGUCCUAGCCAUGGUCGACCUAAUCAUGGAAGUUCUAGCCACCCACUGCGAAUCCGUUUCGCCUAAGUUUGUAAAAAAUUUCCUGCCGAGUGACGAGCAAGCCUCUCACUCGGAGACUUAGCUGCGAAUCCGUUUCUCCUAAGUGUUUGAAAACCUACCGAGUGAAGAGCAAACCUCCCACUCAGGGGCUUAGCUGCGAAUCCGUUUCGCCUAAGUGUUAAAAAUCCUACCGAGUGGAGAGCAAACCUCCCACUCAGGGGCUUAGCUACAGUCCAGUACUCACCUAAGUGAUUGAAAUCCUAUCGAGUGGAGAGCAAACCUCCCACUCGGGGGCUUAGCUGCAGUCCAGUACUCGCCUAAGUGUUUAAAAAUCCUAUCGAGUGGAGAGCAAACCUCCCACUCGGGGGCUUAGCUGUAGUCCAGUACUCGCCUAAGUUUGAAAUUCAUUCCGAUCCGCAAGGACGACCAGGUGCAGGUCGACUGCUACCUUCUCCUCUGAGUUACAACACAAACACAACGAGAAGCAAUGAAAAUCCUACCGAGUGGGGAGCCUGUCUCCCGCUCGGGGGCUUAGCUGCGGUCCAGUACUCGCCUAAGUGUUUGAAAUCCUACCGAGUGGUGAGCCUGUCCCCCACUCGGAGGCUUAGCUGCGGUCCAGUACUCGCCUAAGUGUUUGAAAUCCUACCGAGUGGUGAGCCUGUCUCCUACUCGGGGGCUUAGCUGCGGUCCAGUACUCGCCUAAGUGUUUGAAAUCCCACCGAGUGGUGAGUCUGUCUCUCACUCGGGGGCUUAGCUGCAGUCCAGAACUCGCCUAAGCAUUUGAAAUCCUAUCGAGUGGUGAAUCUGCCUUUCACUCGGAGGCUUAGCUACGGCCCAGUGCUCGCCUAAGUGUUUAAAAUCCUACCGAGUGGUGAGUCUGCCUCACACUCGGAGGCUUAACUGCAGUCCAACACUCGCCUAAGUACGAAAAUCGUUCCGACCCGCAAGGAUGACGAGGUGCAGGUCGACUGUAACCUUCUCCUCCGGGCUUCGGCACAAAUACAAUGUGCGCUUCAUCCUGGGCUGCAAGGAUGCAAGUCGACUGAAAUCUGUGCUCCAACCUACAAGAGCACGUCCCAAGCACAAAAAUAUAUUCCGAGCGAAGAACAAUGUUCGCUCGAAGACAAAUGCAAGCAUAUUCAACGGUAAAGCCAAGUUCAGAUAGCAUCCUACGGAUCCAGAAGUGCUCAGGCAUCAAGCCUGUUAAAGUUUAUCGGUUACAAAAACCACUCGGCAUUCCAAGGCAAAUAUAAGGCAUAGAAGUUUUUUACUUCUCCGGUGGAGGACUGGAAGGCGCAACGAACUCGUCCAGGUCGAUUCCAUCAGCAAUCCGAGUUGCAGCAGCAAUGAAUGUCUCCAUGAAGGAUCGGAAGUCAUGCUUCUUAGUAUUGGCCACCUUGAGGGACGCCAACUUUUCCUCUCGUGCAUCUUUGCAGUGAACACGGACUAAAGACAUAGCUACAUCGGCACCGCACCUGGCAGAAGACUUCUUCCACUCUUGCACUCGGCCUGGGACUUCAUUCAGUCAAGUCAUCAAAGACUCGAGGUCAUUCUGAAGCGUCUCCCCUGGCCAGAGUGUCGUGUCGAUUCGCGAUGCUGCAACCUUCAGUCGAGCAAGAUAGUCAACCACAGCAGCGACUCGUGACUCCAGUCGGAGCACGUUCAUGGCAGCGUCAUCCUUCACAGGAGAGUUGAUGGGAUCCAGGCCUGUCUCCACUCGACUGGUCUCCUCCUCGAAAUUUUGGCAGAAUUCUGUACACACAAGUCAAACAUAAACCAGCAGUUCCGCGAUGAAUCAACGGUGACAAGUCAAUCGAGUGAGAAAGGUUACCUUCAAGCAUGAGGAACAACUUCCUGGCGAGCCCUCCCAGAUAAGCUUCCAGAUCAUUCUUCUUCCCCACCAGUUCACUAGCCUUGUCGCUCAGAGCAAUCUUUUCGUUCUUCAGACGGCUGACUUCCUUGUUGGCCGCGUCGAGAGCAGCUUUCAAGUUGGCGUUCUCUUCUUCAAGCUUGCCGACUGAAGUCAGCUUCUCUUCCGCAAGCUUCGUUUUGUCCAGAGCCACCUUCUGCGCUUCAGCAAGUUCCUGGUCCUUCUUCUUUAGAGCCUCCUUCGUUUUUUCUGCAAAAUGACAAGGAGGUCAGAAUCAAUGAUGUGCAAAAGGAAGGAAAUAGUCGUCAAGUUCUCACCAAUCGUACCUUUUGCCUCGUCCUUCGCCUUUUGAAAGUUCUCCUGAACAAGCUUCAAGUCAAGGUCGAGCUGGAUAUGUUUCUUUUCCAACUCAGUGUAACGGGCCACGAGCUCGCAAGAUUUCUGCAAAUAGUCAGUCGACAGACAUCAAAGAGAGGUUGCUUCCGAGUGACUAAGAGAAAAACAGUAACGUUUCUAAGACUACAGUCGAAUCAAAAUAUUCAACAGUAGUCUUGGGGACUACAUCCAGUGGGUGCACUCAGCGUGCCCCCACUAGUUCUACCGACUCGAUCCGAUCAGUCGACCGAAAGGAUCAAAGAGAUUAUGGUCUCAUCAUAAUCUACAAAAAAGGAAAAAGAGAGAGUUCUUCAGACUACAGUCGACUGCCAGUAGUCCACCAUAGUCUCGGGGACUACACCCAGUGGGUGCACUCAGCCUGCCCCCACAGGUCCUAAUGUUCCACUCGACAUGGUCCGACCAGACCGAGUGAAGAAAUUUCAACUACAAAGACUAUAGUCGGCUGCCAGCAGUCCAUCAUAGUCUCGGGGACUACACCCAGUGGGUGCACUCAGCGUGCCCCCACCAGUCUACAAACCCAAUCGACACACCCAGUGGGUGUACAAACACAAAGAUUUUUGGAAAGAAAAUCUUCAGAUAUCAUAUCCUAACGGAACAGGUGGUUACCAACUAACCUGGACAUUGCUCUGAAGGGAUGAGCUUGCAUCAUAAGCAGCUUGGCUGGCUUCCCGGAUCGCCUUCACCUGCUCCAUCAUAAUCCCCGCCUGGCGUAUAGCCUCCUUAGCAGCGCCCGCCUAAUCCUCUAGGACCUGGUGUGUGGCGAAAAGGGAGGGCGGUUCAACAGUCGACGACGAAGGCCGGGCACUCGUUAGCGGCACAGCGAAGGUCACAGAAUGCCGAGCGAUGUCGCCACCUUCUUGAACCAGUACCUCAGGUGUUGACGCAGUCCGAGUGGCCUUGCCAGCCGCGGCAUGUCUAUUCUUCCUUUCCUUCAGGGGCACCUCGUCAUCAUCAUCGGGGAGAUCAAUGACGUGACGAGGAGCUGCAAGAUAAAUCCAGAGUUGGAAACGAAGAUCCGAUCAACCAAAAGCGAAAACAACAAGAGAACAUCCCAAGGUUGGAGGUGAAAGUGUCUUCCAUUUCUUGGUCGCCGUCCUUGGCAGAGGUCUCGGAGGUAGUAGCACUGCAGAUUUCAGAAACCAGUCGGUUAGUCGAUGAGUCGACCGGAAGUUCGCUCGAGCUGAACAAGGAAACACAAAUCCUGCUGUUACCCGGAGAUGGUGGGAAAGGCCAUUUUCAUCUUAGGCAAGGCCUUCGAUGGCUUUGAUGACUCCUCCCGCGGAUGCUUCGGCGCUUUUUCAGUCGGCGUCGGAGAGGCCGUCCGAGGGCACUUUGUCGACGACACAACGGGCGCAACCGCUUUGCCGCGCUCCCUCGCGGGGUCGUGGGUGAUCUUGGAUCGCCUUUCCGUGCGAGGAGGAUCGACUUCCAUUUCCUCCUCCUCCUCGCUGGAACCGUCUUCAUCCUCUUCCCCCUUGUCGUCAGAUUUCCACUCCUCCUCACUUUCACCUCCACUCGCCUCUCCCUCCUCGGCUUGUUCCUGCGCCCCGUUGGGCAUCGAGUACAUUUCAGUCGUGCACUACUAGGGAAAAGCCUAUACACAGAAUCUUACCAGCAGCUCUCCCUAAAAUACCAUGCUACUACUAUUUAGCAGCAGCGCGUGUUAGAGAAACACGCUGCUGACAGGAAAAUAGCAGUAGCGCGUCCACCGCGAACCGCGCUGCUGCUAUAAUUGCCAUGACCUCGCCCCCUGCUAGUUAUAGCAGUAGUGCGCUUUAUUGAACAGCGCUACUGCUAUAGAAGUUAGCAGCAGCACACUUAUGGGAAAACCGGUAAGAUCAGCCCACAAGUUUAGUCCCACCUCGCUCCGUGAACAGGGUGUUUACCACCUUAAAUAUGUUAUUUCAGAAACUACCACAACCAGUUGGUUUUCACUGAACUCUAUGUGUAAAAUUUGUGGCCGCAAUAUGAGUCCUCUCCGGUUCCUACUGGAUAGGACUCAUAUUGAAAAUUCAGAUUGUACACAAAAAGAUCAUUGAUGGCCAAUGUAUUUUUGCAUUGACGCGUAUUUUUUGUAUAGUUACACUUAGCAGUAGCGGUUUAUGUGCAACGCGCUACUACUAUUCUAAUUAUCUGUAGCGCGUUUUGGCAAACCCGCUACAACUAUCCCCACCUUAUCCCCACGCACACGACCGGCGCCCUCACUCACACUCUCACUCUCGCCCCCCAUGCCGAUAACCGUCGUCGUGCGUCGCCGCCGCCGCCGCCUUCGUCCGUCCGCCGCCGAGGUACUCCCCUCCUUCCGUCCCUCCUCCCUCCUCCUCGCACAUCCUCCCUCCGCCUGCGGCCGCCCCUCCCUCCUCCGCCGCCGCCCUCCUCCCUCCGCCUGCGGCCGCCCUCUCCCUCCUCCACCGGCAACCCUCCUCCCACCGCCCUCGACCUCACCGCCCCUAGCUACCUCUCCGUCGCCCCCACCCCCUGCCACUAGUUAGUACUAGAUUUAGUAGUUGUAGAUGUUAAUUUAGGGUUCAUAGCUAGUACUAGAUGUUAAUUUAGUUAGUACUAGAUUUUUAGUAAGAUAAUUAAUAUAACUAGUUGAACUACUUUAUUUUUAGAAAGAACUAGUUUUUUCUAUUUAUAGUAAGUUUAUAUUUAGUAAGAACUAGUUGAAUUAAUAAAACUAGUUGAACAUGUCAUAUUUGUUGUUAUUUUUUAGUUUAAGCAAUUAUUCGGGAUGUAUUAGUGAUAACUUAUAUGGUUUCAGGUGACCACCGUCGUCCCUGUCACCGACCCCCUCCGACAUCCCCGCCGUCGUCCCCGUCACCGACCCCCUCCGACAUCCCCGCCAUCGUCCCAUUCACCGACCCCCUCCGACAUCGAGGUGAGACCAGCCAAAUAUCCUUGUAUAUCUUGUGUUGUUGCUCAAAUAGGAUAUGUGGUUGCCCAAGUGGCCCUUCAUGUUCAGUUUACAUCUCCGAGUGGCCUAUGUUUUGCCGGAGUGUUGAUUAAUUUCCGUUCCGGUAAAUUUCAGGCGCUCGAUAUGUCCUUUUUUAGCAAAGGUCAUGCCGGAUUUUUUUCGUGAAUUCUAGCAUGACUUGUGCUAGAAUAUGUACAAGUUUAAUCUUUGAAUUAUGAACGUAGGAAAUGUCAUACUCGGACAAUGACAGUCUCCCGGGGGAGUGUAGCUGGUGCCACGACGAUCGAGGUAUGCGCGAUAGGUUUGUUCGGCUGGACGAAGAUCGACGCUUCAACAUUAAGCUCGAGGAGACCUUCGAUUGUGAAACGGUACGCAACAACGACAAGUGUUUUUUCGUAAUUAAGCAUGACUUCAACUAUUUCAACGUCUAAUUUUCAUAUUUUACAAUUCGACUAGCUUAUCCCAUGCCGUGCCAGACGCUAUGUCUUGCAGAGGAUGGGUUUUGAAGACCAUGAAAAUUUCGAAACAAAGAAAAUACACCUAAGGACCCAUCAUGAUAUGGAUUUUGAAGUAAAUCUGUGCAAUGCUCAGAGCGUAACCCAUUUUGGUUGCCAAAAUUGGGAAGCACUUUGCAAAAUGUAUGGUUUUUAUGAGGGUAUGAUUGUCACCAUGGAUCUUGGUGAUCCUGACAUCGAGCAAGACAAUAUGGACAUUUGGGUCCUUGUUGAUACGCUUCCGAUUGUACCGCUAUGUGAGUUUCUCAAACAUAGUUAUUAACUAAUUUAUAGUGUUUAUUUCAAAAUAGUUGAUAGCUUAUUUCCAUUGACAGCUUAUUUUGAUUCUUCAAAGACUGUGCGGAAGAUGGUAGAUAAAACCCACUACACCGAUGGCACCGAGUUAACAUAUAAGGAGAAAAAUCAUCUGAUCGCAUUUUGUACUCUUCUUGAGAAUUACAAUAACUAUUAUCGAACUCCUCCAAAUUAUGGUGAAUACGUGCCACUAGUGCAUGUGUUGAACCACGGUAACUUCUCUGGAGAUACCCUGGUAAGAUUUUUUACUAUUACGACAUUCGUGCAUCUUUUGCAUACUUCUAAAACUAGUACAUCAUUGCUAACUACGAAGUUAUUAUUAUGUUUUUCAACAGAAACUCCCGAUGGAUUGUGUGCCUCAUCUGAUGUCUCUGCAUGGUCGCCUCUUAGUUCUGAACAUACUGCCAGGUAAAUUUACGAAGCUCAUCUGUGCAUAUCGGAUUUCUAAAACCCGUGAACACAUGUUCAUCAAAGAAUGGAAGAAAUGUAUGGACAUUCGCAAGGAGGUUCUUGGAAGUAACAUUCAGCGAAAGGCAAGAAUUGGAGACAGGCUAAUCUCCAUUCUCCAUAAUGGAGAGUUAGGGGCUAUCUUGUUUUUUUGCUAUUUUACCUUAGAAAAUGUAGUAGGUCUUAAUCGAAUGUAAUAGGUCCUAUGAGGUACAAUAUGUUUAUUAUGUGGUAAUGUGUUAGAGUUGAUAAUGAUGAUCUUGAGGAGGUGUUAUGUGAUGUCAAUGAUGAAAACGAUGAUCUUGAGGAGGUUUUAUAUGACAAUGAUGUAUUAUGAUGAUAAGUUGUUAAUGAUAUGAUGAUGAUGAUGAUAUUAUUAUAUCAUUGGGUGAAAGAACCGCGGAUUAGUUUCAAGUGGAUGGACAUCCACUUGAAACUAAUCCGCGGUUCUUUCCCCCCGUGAUGUAAUAACUCAUUAUGAUGAGUUAAACAAUCUCUAAAUUCCUGUUGUCUGAAAACUUGUGUAAAGGUGUAUGAAUACAAAAUGAAAUAAAGAAGAAACAAAAUACUAAAUAAUAGUAGUAGCGCGGGAAAGGAGAAGCGCUACUACUAAUUACCAGUAGCGCGGUUCUGAAGAAGCGCUACUACUAAGUCAAUUUAUCAGUAGCAUGGGUCCAGGCGUGCUAUUGCUAAGCAUUAGCUGUAGCGCCUUAUCAGUAGCGCUCCUGCCCACGCUACUGAUAGGCCUAAAACUCGCGCUGUUGCUAGGCUUUUCCCUAGUAGUGGUGACCUAGAAGAUAGCAAACAAGACAAAAGACAGUCGGUUGAUUUCGAAGCCCUGGCAUCGGCUGGUCCUUGCAGUAAAACCAAGUCGACUGCCACCCAUGGACGGAGUCGGGCAAAACCAUGGUUGGAAAAGAACUUUUCCCUCUCAACUGGAUCCCAAGGCCCCCACACAUCUGAAUCACAUGUGUCCUCUCGUCACUCGGAUUUGCCUUCUUCACCGUCUGGGAGCGACAGGUGAAGAUGUGCUUAAAGAGACCCUAGUGAGGCCGGCAACCCAAGAAGCACUCGCACAAAGAUGCAUAGGCGGCGAGGUACACUAUGGUGUUGGGUGUGAAGUGGUGGAGUUGUGCCCCAAAGAAAUUUAAAAACCCCCGGAAGAAAGGGUGGGGCGGCAAAGAAAACCCACGAUCGACGUGGGUGGCCAGAAGAACACACUCACCCUCCUAAGGCUGCGGCUCUGACUCCCUCCCCGGGAGCCGCGCCGAUCCAUGGGGGAUCAGCCCUCCGUCAGCCAGGUCGUCGAGAUCCUCCUGACUAAUUGUCGAGCGGAUCCAGUCGCCCUGGAUCCAGCCCGGCGGCAGGCCGGUCCUCGAUGAAGAGCCACUCCGACUGGUUCCCCUCCCCUUUACCUUCGCCGUCGCUUUCUUCGCCCACUCCAGGGCCGCCGUCUUCUCCCCCACCAUCGUCGCCGGCGCAGCACGCACGGGGCAAUGGCACGGAGGCAGAAGCGAACGCGGCGGAGAAAUCUAGAGAAGAGGGGGGAAUGAGGGCGCACUGUUGAAAAACCCCCAUUCGGCGCUUUAUAUAAGGCUGCUUCCAAGUGGCUGACAUGUAGGCCCGGACGAUCCUAUCAAAUCCCGCAACAGUCGCAUGCGCGAUACGUGGCGAAAAAGGUGGCGCGGAGAUUGAGGCAUUCCUGCCUUAUCCCGUCCGAGCUGCGGCUACGCCCCGUCCCGCGCGCUUCCUAAAAUUCGAAUCCCACAAAAUCCGCGGCUUGCAGAACAACUCGCCAGGCGGAAGAUCUCCCCCACUCUGUCACUCGGAGAUCUCCAAGUGAAAACUUCACUCGACAGAUACAAAGAAUGGAUCAAGGCGGCUGAAAAAGAAGUUGAUGUUGUCACCUAAAAGUUCAUUGAUCCUAGACAAGACAUACUCAUAGCACGAGAAAUGGGUCGGAAGAAUUUUCAACUCCUUCCCCACUCAAACCUCGAUCCAUUCGGGGGCUAAUGAUGAAGCUAUGUACCUAGGGUAGGGUCAUGGACCUGUCCAAACUACCCUACCCAAUGACAUCUCUAGAUGAAACCACCUGUCAGUCGACCUAGAGAUGUUCCACUCGACAGACUCGAGGACACUCUACCAUGAAGAUAACCACUCGACCAUGGAGCUAACCACUCGACGGCGAGGAGAUCUAAAGUCACUCUGCAUGCAACGGUCUAUCAUUAAGUAGCCUUUAUGGUCUUCAUAGCACUUUAUGUGGGUGUUACCAGUAACCCCCUGUCUUAAUGUAGUUUAAACCCUGUAUAACUGAGGGCCGGAGGGGUCUGGCGAACUCUAUAUAAGCCACCCCCUCCUCAGUGUGAAGGGUUCGCACCCCUGUAACUCACACGCAUAUAAUCCAGUCGACCGCCUCCGGGCACCGAGACAUAGGGCUGUUGCUUCCUCUGAGAAGGUCCUGAACUCGUAAAACUCUUGCGUGUACAACUACUCCAUAGCUAGGAUCUUGCCUCUCCCUUAGUACCCCCUACACUACUGUCAAACAUAGAACCAUGACAGCACGCCCGCGACCUCGCCUCCACGCGCGGUCGUCUGCUUGUGGCCUCGCCCCUGUACGUCUCCAGCUGCGAAGCCCGUCCGCGCCCGCCGGCUGCUGCCUUGGCCGUGCCCGCCUGCGCGAGGCCGCUCCCCGCGCGCGCCCUGCUGCUUGUGGCCGUGACCCCGCCAUCCCGGUGUUGAGCUCCGCCCGCUACUGAUGCUCGCUGGUGCGCCACCCGCCUUCCACUCAUGCACGCGCCAGCCCCAUGUCCUGCGCUCGCCCCGCCGCACUCUCCUGCACCCCCGCGAGCCUGCACUGCUGCUGCCCUGUAGUUGAUGCUGCUCGACCGCGCCGUUGCUGCCACUGGUGCUCUGCUGCUCUUGCUUGCUACCGCAGCUGCUCCGUGCUACUCCUACAUGCUGCUGUUUGCCGCUACUGAUUUCUCUAGUUGCUGCUGCUAGUUGCUGCUCGAGCCGCUGCUAGUUGUUGCUAAUGGCCAUGGCCGUGGCCAUGUCCAAACACGUGCGGUGUGUGUGUGUGUAUGCACAGCCACCGCCAGCCGGCCCGUGGAAAUUAGAUUAGGGGAUAAUUACUAGUUAGUUUAACUACUAGCCAACAACAAUGGCCCCCACUGUUAGUUAAUCUAAUUUAUUUAAAGUCUAGUUAACCACAGACAAUGACAUGUGGGUCCCCUGUCCAGUCUGAAUAGUCAAACUAUUGACUGGGUUGACCCUGUCCAUGACUAGUGGGUCCGGAUUGACCCCGUUGACCAUUCAACAGUUGACUGGUCAACUACUGACUGGGCCCCCCGGACCCCACCUGCCAGCCACACAUAUGUUCUAUUGGGUACAACUCUGGGUACCCGUAGCAUUUUAUUCUUUUAAUUUUGAAUUAAAAUUAAAUCUAGAAAAAAUAGAAAAUCAUUUAAAACUUUGAAAAUUAAUAUAAAAUAAAUCGUAAUUUGGAUUAAUCCAGAUACGUAGCCCGUUUGUCCGCCACACAUCCCUAACAUAGCGAACACGCAACUUUCCCCCUCCGGUUCAUUUGUCCGAAAACGCGAAACACCGGGAAUACUUUCCCGGAUGUUUCCCCCCUUCAUCGGUAUUACCUCCUACCGUGUUAGGGCACACCUAGCACCGCUCAUUGUCUUGUCAUACAUCGUCAUGCAUAUGUUUGCUUUUAUAUUUAUUGUCCCCCCCUUUCUCUCGCUAGACACCGAGGCCGACGCUGCUGCUACCCAGUACGAGUAUGGAGUUGACCCCUCCUUCUUGCCAGAGCAACCAGGCAAGCCCCCCCUGAUCACCAGAUAUCGCCUAUUCUUCUCUAUAUUUCUUGCAUUAGAGUAGUGUAGCAUGUUACUGUUCUGUUACUCCUAUUCUGUUGCAUAGCCUGUCAUUGUUGCUACAGUUGUUGAUACCUUACCCACAAUUCUAAAUGCUUAGUAUAGGAUGCUAGUUUAUCAUCAGUGGCCCUACAUUCUUGUCAGUCUGCCUUGCUAUACUAUCAGGCCGUGAUCACUCGGGAGGUGAUCAUGGGUAUAUACUAUAUAUAUACAUACUAUACAGAUGGUGACUAAAGUCGGGCCGGCUCGUUGAGCACCCGCAAGUGAAUCGGAUAUGGGGGCUAGAAGGACAGGUGGCUCCAUCCCGGUAGAGGUUGGCCUGGGUUCCCGACGGCCCCCGAGUGCUACUUUGAGGCGGAGCGACAGGGUAGGUUGAGACCAGCUAGGAGAGAGGUGGGCCUGGCCCUGGUUGGCGUUCGCGAUUACUUUAAAAUAACACGCUUAACGAGUUCUUGGUAUUUGAUCUGAGUCUGGCCACUAGCCUAUACGCACUAACCAACUAUGUGGGAACAGUUAUGGGCACUCGACGUCGUGGUAUCAGCCAAAGCCUUCGUGACGUCAGUGACUGAGCGGCGCGCGCCGGGUUGGACCGCGUAACGCAACUUCCUUUGUAAUGGAGGUUGCUAGGUCUGCUCUUCGGCCGCCCACGCAACAUGCAGGUGUGCAAUGGGCGAUGGGCCCAGACCCCUGUGUGGAUAGGAUUUAGACCGGCAUGCUGAGCUCUCUGUUGUGCCUAGGUGGGGCUGCGACGUGUUGAUCUUCCGAGGCCGGGCAUGACCCAGGAAAGUGUGUCCGGCCAAAUGGGAUCGAGCGUGUUGGGUAAUGUGGUGCACCUCUGCAGGGAAGUUGAUCUAUUCGAAUAGCCGUGUCCCUCGGUAAAAGGAUGACCCGGAGUUGUACCUUGGCCUUAUGACAACUAGAACCGGAUACUUAAUAAAACACACCCAGACAAGUUCCAGAGACAACCCGGUGAUCGCUUUCCCAUAGGGCGACAAGGGGUGGAUCGCCGGGUAGGAUUAUGCUAUGUGAUGCUACUUGGAGGACUUCAAUCUACUCUCUUCGACAUGCUGCAAGACGGAGGCUGCCAGAAGCGUAGUGUUCGAUAGGACUAGAUAUCCCCCUCUUUUACUUGCAUCCUGCAGUUCAGUCCACCGAUAUUGCCUCUUUACACACAUACCCAUGCAUAUGUAGUGUAGAUCCUUGCUUGCGAGUACUUUGGAUGAGUACUCACGGUUGCUUUGCUACUUCUUUUCCCCCUUUCCCGGUUAUUGCGAUCAUCUGAUGGAGUCCAGGAGCCAGAGGAUCCCGAGGAUGGUUCUACAUGGAGUUCGGCUUUGAGGAGUAGUUAGGAGGUCCCAGGCAGGAGGCCUUGCCUUUUCGAUCGUCACUUCUUUUGUGCUAGCCUUCUUAAGGCAAAACUUGUAUAACACAUGUCUGUACUCAGAUAUUGUUGCUUCCGCUGACUCGUUUAUGUUCGAGCACUUGUAUUCGAGCUCUCGAGGCCCCUGGCUUGUAAUAUGGUGCUUGUAUGACCUAAUUUACUUUUAGAGUUGUGUUGUGAUAUCUUCUCGUGAGUCCCUGAUCUUGAUCGUACACAUUUGCGUGCAUGAUUAGUGUACGACUGAAUCGGGGGCGUCACACCCUAGUGGGUCCCUACUGUCAUCCAGUCAAAAUAAAGUUAUCUCCUAAACCCUCAUGUUCAUUGACCAUGUUAACAAUGCUUGACGCCACGACAAGCGCAACAACUCGAAGGACGAUGGAGAUGGCCUCGCGGGCCCUACGGAUAGUCUGAUACAGCGCCCGCUGCUCAUUCAGGAAGCCAAGAUCAUCGGACACCUAUGAGCACCUUCGAGAGACUGAGAUGGCAUGAAACGGUAAGGCCGCGCUUGGGAGCUCUGGUUUAUUUCACACCUAUAUUAACAUACAAGUGUAAUUUACUUGUCAUCGGAAACAACGCGUAAAAUACAUGCGUAAUGAAACAGAGGGCCCGAGGUCUGUACGUAAAACCAGCGGGUUACAUGUGUAAUUUGAGAGACCAGUGUAUAUUUUACUAGUCGAAAUCGACCAACCAAGCGCUUCGCCCGAGACCAUCUGCUUUUAUUUACAAGCGUCAGUUAUACAAGUGGUUUUGGAUGGAAAAUGACGAUCCAAUCACGGCCUAAGAUGAUGAGUUGGUCAGAAGAUCAUAUGGUUUCACAUCAAACCUACCCGACUUGUCAUAUAGGCUAUGAAUGAAACAUAAGACGAUGAACUUAUUAAGCACGGAAACAACAGAAGAGGAUGAUCUUUGUUGGGGAUAUAACUACUGAGUGUAAACCUCAUAGGAGGGGCCAGUUCACCCUCAACUAUAUUGAAGCCCACAAAGACUCAGAAGAUGGUGCUUUACUAUGAAGCUUAGAGGCUCGGAACCCAAAGGCGGAUUAGGGCCCAUAGUGGUAAACCGCCAUAGUCAUAUAACUUGUAUUGUAAGAAUAAGGAAAGGAGAGACCGAGCCGAACACUUGUAUGAGUCGGCCUCGGGACUCUGUAAGCCGGCCGGGCGUCAACUCGUGUAUAUAAGGGGACGACCCGACGGCAGUUCAGGGAAAAGAGACAACUCGAUAGCCAGGCAUAGCUUGUUUAGCUCCCCGGUAGCGAGACCCCAAUAAUCCCAUCACAACUAGACAUAGGCCUUUACCUUCAUCGAAGGGGCUGAACUAUUAUAAAAUCUCUCGUGUCCUUUGUCCGGUUUAACCCCUUUAAGCUAACCCGUCGCGAUGGCUCCAGGACUAAGUCCUUACAUGAGGACAUCUGACGUGAUAUUUCCAUGAUAGUUGGCGUCCACCAUGGGGCUAUUGCACGAUGGUUUCGAGUUCUUGAAGGGCAACUUUGAAGGACUCAAAGGAUACACUGUGGGACGGAUGACUAAGAGUCAUCGUGGCAAGCCAAGGCGGACUUAGCGGCUGAGGAAACCAGGAUGGCGGAGGAACGUGCCGCUUUAGAUGCCCAGGCGCAAAGGAUUCAAGCUGAGAAUUAUCGGCUUUUGAUGGACCAGAACGCUUUAAUUCAAGUAUCCAGGAGGAAACAUCAAUCUCGCCUGUCGGCGGAUUACAAUGCAAUGAAUCUCUUUGGAACUCCAGGUGCAGGAACUAGUAACCCGCCAGCAGUAAACCAGAAUACCGAUCCAAGGACCGGGGCAUCGGAUCAACCUCAGGUGAUGGGUCCACCUCAGCGUACGGACAACCCGCCGCGGUAUACCACACCGCCGCCGGGUCACUUUUCUACCCCGUUGGACAAUAUGAUAGCAGCAGCAUCCCGGUUGGGUGCUAUUCCGAUUGAAGGUGAAUCGCCGGCAGCGGUUGAGACACGGCGGGCCAGGGAUCUUCUUCAAACAACUUUGACACAACAGCAAGCUUACUCAUAUAGCCGAGACAGGAUUCACUCAAUUCCAUGACCGAGCAAAAGCUAUAGCAGGCAUAUAGAUGAACCCGAGGUGUCUAGCAGUGCGCGGUGCCGCAUUGUCCCUCAAGGGCCUAAUCCGGUGCAUGGUGAUAUGAACGCUCAGGACGUGGUGGAUAAUGGCAGAGCACGAAGGGAGGCUGCUUUGGCAGCACAACAUACGGGGCGAUACCAACCCGCCCCGGUUCGGCCAGCAGCGUCAGUGGACCGAGGCGUCGGAGUUGCUUUCAGCUCAUGGGGAGUGCCGUGCAUUAUUCCGGUUCUUCGUAAUGUGCGAUUGCCUAAGGACUCAAGGGCCCACGUAAGGUGCCGAAUUACACCGCUGAUCAUCCACCCGAGGCGUUGGUAGGAAUUUAUGAGAUGGCAAUGGAGAUGUUGGACGUUGAUGAAGUGGCUUGUGCAAAGUACUUCACGAUGAUGUUGGAGGGGACAACUCGUACUUGGUUGAAAAAUUUACCACCUAACUCCAUCGAGUCAUGGGACCAGUUGAAGGCCCGGUUUAUAGCCAAUUUCAAAGACACAUGUAAGCAGCCUAUGUCCAUUGUGGAUCUCGAUGCCUGUGUGCAAGGGGAGAACGAGUCAACAACUCAUUGGGUGCGCUGGGUUUCAGAAGUCUUGCAUUCAUCAGACCGUAUUAAUGCUGGCUCGGCAAUCAUCACGUUGGAGCGUAAUUGCCGGUUUAAGUCACUAAAGAUGAAGUUGGGACGGCUCAAGCGCCACUACAAUGACAUGGGCACCCUUAUGGCCGCCUUGGUCAAGUAUGCCAAUUCUGAUAAUACCAAGGAUCCCGAUUCUGAUGAGGAGAAACCGGAGAAGGGAAAGAAGAACGGCGGUGCAAAGGGACAGCAACACAACCAAGGAGGCCAUGGGAAUAACGGUAAGCGUAAAGCGGAUUCAGAUUUUGUGGCUAACGCUAAUGUGCAACGUCGUAAGGGUAGACCGCCCCAACGCGGUGGCGGAAUGAAUCUGGAGCAUUUGUUGAAUCAGCCCUGCCCAAAACAUGGGACCAGGGAGGUUCCUGCGACGCAUCUCUGGAAAGAUUGUCACAUUAUGAAGGAGUUCAAAAACUCUGAUCUUUUCUGGUAUGAUCAGGGUCCAUCAGGCGGUUCAGGUCUAGGUUUUCAUGGUGGCGGCGGUUCAAACUCUGGAUUUCAGAAUAAUCAGGGCAACCAGAACAACCAAGGGUGGUAAUAACCAGCAGAGUAAUCAAGGAAAUCAGCAGCAGUCGGGUUACCAGAGUCACCCAAAGUAGUUGAAUGGUGGGCAGUAUCAUGUGUUCACCACUAGUUUGUGCAAGCGUGAUCAGAAGCUUCACAAGAGGGCUGUUAAUGCUGUGGAACCGGUAGUACCAUGUUACCUACGGUGGUCCGAGCAACCUAUUGUAUGGAGUAGAGAGGAUCAUCCGCCCCGGGUUGACAAUCCGGGUCACCUGGCUUUGGUGGUGGAACCUCAGGUAGGAGGUUAUAAGUUCACCAAGGUACUCAUGGAUGGAGGAAGCAGUAUCAACAUUCUGUAUUAUGAGACCUUCCGUCGCAUGGGGUUGACAGACAAGAGUCUUAAACCGUCCAACAUUGUUUUCCAUGGUGUGGUACCAAGUAAAUCGGCAUAUCUUGUUGGUAAGAUCGCUUUGGAAGUUGUGUUUGGUGAUGAACAUGAUUCCCGGUCUGAGACAUUGACCUUUGAAGUGGUGAGGAUCCAGAGCCCAUACCACGCACUGUUUGGGCGACCGGCUUAUGCAAAGUUCAUGGCAAGGCCUUGUUAUAUGUACUUGCAGCCCAAGAUGCCGGGUCAUAAAGGGACCAUUACGGUUCACGGAAGUCGUAAAAUCGCUUUGGAUUGCGAAGAAUGUGAUGCGACCUAUGCUGAGUCGGUUUGUGCUACAGAGGAGCUGAAGUUUUAUAAGGAAAAUGUUGAUCCGGCAGACAUGACCCCUCUGAAGAAGCCCACCACUAAGCAUGACCCAACCCUGCAUUUCAAACCGGCUGAUGAGACUAAGCUUGUUGACUUUGUUCCUGGCGAUUCGUCCAAGCAGUUCAGCAUCAACACAAAUCUGGAUCCGAAAUAGGAAAGCGCGCUCAUCGAGUUCUUCCGUGAAAACCGGGACAUUUUUGCAUGGAAAACUUCUGACAUGCCAGGUGUACCGAGGGAACUCGCCGAGCACACUCUCAAUAUUGAUCCGAAGUUUAAACCGGUCAAGCAAUUUCUUCGUCUCUUUAAUGAGGAAAGACGCAAGGCAAUUGGUGAAGAGGUAGCCCGGCUGUUGGCUGCUGGGUUUAUCAUUGAAGUGUUUCAUCCUGAAUGGUUGGCUAAUCAGGUGCUUGUUCUUAAGAAAAACGACACUUGGCGCAUGUGUGUGGACUACACAGAUUUGAACAAAGCUUGUCUGGCCGAUACUUUUGCUCUCCCACGUAUUGAUCAGGUCAUUGAUGCAACGACGGGUUGUGAGCGUUUGAGUUUCUUGGAUGCUUAUUCAUGCUAUUAUCAGAUCAAAACGGCAGUUAAGGACCAGGAGAAGACCGCCUUCAUCACUCCCUUUGGAGCCUUCUGCUAUGUUUCUAUGCCCUUUGGGCUCAAGAGUGCCCAGGCAACUUACCAGCACUGUGUGCAGAAUUGUCUACACACUCAGAUUGGGCGUAAUGUUCAUGCCUAUGUUGAUGACAUUGUGGUAAAGUCCAGGAAGAAGGAGACAUUGAUAGAUGAUCUCAAAGAUACCUUUGACAAUCUGCGGGUUUACAAGAUGAUGCUCAAUCCGGACAAAUGUGUCUUUGGUGUUCUGGCAGGCAAGCUUCUAGGCUUUUUGGUGUCCAACAGAGGCAUUGAGGCUAAUCCGGAGAAGAUCAAAGCAAUUACAUCUUUGGCUAAACCGGCAUGCAUCAAUGAUGUUCAGCGUCUAGCAGGUCGGAUUGCAGCCCUAAGCCGGUUUAUCAGCCGUUUGGGAGAGAAGGCGAUCCCUCUAUAUCAGAUGUUGAAGAAAACAGACACCUUUGUAUGGAGUGAUGUGGCUAAUGCGGCGUUUGAAGACUUGAAGCGGCAGUUGGCCGAACCACCCGUCCUUGCUGCUCUGGUUGACAAGGAGCCCUUAUUUUUGUACAUGGCUGCUAAUGCCUGUGCUGUCAGUGUGGCAAUCGUGGUGGAACGCAAGGAGGCUGGUAAGGAGUACCCAGUUCAACGACCGGUUUACUAUAUCAGUGAGGUGCUUAUCGAGUCAAAGCAGCGAUAUCCGGAUUGGCAGAAGCUCGUAUACGGGGUUUUUAUGGCAAGUCAGAAGCUCAAACAAUAUUUCCAAGGCCAUCCCAUUACGGUUGUCAGUUCAGCUCCAUUGGGUGAUAUAAUUCAGAACAGGGAAGCAACUGGCCGGGUUGCAAAAUGGGCAAUUGAACUUGGUCCGCAUGGUUUGAAGUAUGUGCCUCGAACAGCCAUAAAGUCUCAGGCACUCAUGGACUUCAUCAAUGACUAGACCGAGUUACAAGCGCCAAAGGACAAACCGGAUAACACAUAUUGGACUAUUCACUUCGAUGGAUCUAGACAAUUGGAGGGCUCGGGGGCUGGAGUUGUUCUUACUUCCCCUCGAGGUGAUAAAAUUCGUUAUGUCCUCCGUUUAAUGUUCCCCUGUACUAACAAUGCAGCUGAGUACGAGGCUCUGCUCCAUGGGCUCCGAGUGGCCAAGGAGAUGAAUUUAAGCCGGGUACGAUGCUUUGGAGACUCUGAUCUGGUGGCUCAGCAAGUUUCUGGCACUUGGGAUUCUAAGGAUCCACUCAUGGUGGCUUACAGACGUGAGGUGGAUAUUGUGGCGAGUUACUUCAAAGGGUAUCAGGUUGAGCAUAUCGAUCGGCGCAAAAACGAAGCAACAGACGCUUUAAGCCGGCUUGGAUCUUAGCGUAAACUGGUACCUCCCAAUACCUUUUUAGAUAUCUUGCAUAACUCGUCUGUUAAGUUGCCUACAGAGGAAGAUUUGGCUAUUCCUGAUCCGGAGGCUCAAUUGGUGGCCGCUUUACACGUUGUGCCGGAUUGGACGGUUCCAUAUCUGGCGUAUAUGAACCAGGGCGAGUUACCAGAUGAUGAAGUCCUGGCACGGCAGAUAGCCCGGCGGUCCAAGUCCAUGGUUAUUCACAAUGGCGAGUUACACCGUUGCAACAUUUUAGGCGUAUUUCAGCGUUGUGUUUCUCCGGAAGAAGGCCAAGAGAUCCUACGGGAAAUCCAUGAAGGGGAUUGUGGUCACCAUGUCGGUUCGAAGUCCCUGGUUGCCAAAGCUUUUCGUCAUGGGUUCUACUGGUUGACAGCUCAUGCUGAUGCGGAGGAUCUGGUAAAGCGAUGUGAUGCUUGUCAAAAGUUUUCACGCAGAGCUCAUGUUCCGGCUCAAGAAUUAAGGAUGAUUCCCAUUACUUGGCCAUUUGCCACUUGGGGGCUUGAUAUGGUGGGACCCUUUAAGCGCUCCAAGGAUAAGAAGACCCACCUUCUGGUGGCAGUUGACAAGUUCACCAAGUGGGUUGAAGCGGAGCUUGUUAGCAAGUGUGAUGCAGCUACAGCAGUUCAAUUUCUCAAAAAGAUUAUAUUCCGCUUUGGCUUUCCACACAACAUCAUCAUGGAUAAUGGCACAAACCUUUCUAAAGGUGAGAUGGAAGAUUUCUGUCAGAGAGAGCACACCCGGCUUGACUUAGCAUCCGUGGCGCACCCCCAGACCAAUGGUCAAGCGGAGAGAGCUAAUCAAGAAAUCUUGAAGGGUAUUAAACCCCGGCUUAUGGUUCCUUUAAAACGGACGCCAGGCUAUUGGGUGGAAGAAUUGCCUUCUGUGUUAUGGAGCAUCAACACCACCCCCAAUAGAUUGACGGGUUACACACCUUUCUUCAUGGUAUACGGGGCAGAGGAGGUUCUCCCAAGUGAUAUUCGUCACGAUUUGCCCCGGGUUGCUAUUUUUUUUGACUAUGUACUGCAAGGCAACAGCCUCACAUUAUUUUAUUAACUAAUAAAAGAGUUCAAGUUACAACUUUACAACUAUACAGGAGUAGUUAAAUACUUACAGAAGAAUAAACUAGGUAAGGUUAGCUAUCCAAGACAUCAGACUAUCCUUAUAUUUGCACUGAAUCCUGUGGUAGAGGAGAGAGAUGUCAUGAAUAAAGUUUCUCCUCCAAGCUCUAAAUGAGGGCUGCUCAUUUCUGAAGAUCUUCCCAUUCCUUUGGAUCCAAAUAUUCCAAGUAGCCACAAAAACCACCUCAGAGAAGAAUGGGAGACCAAAAUCCUUUCUAACUGCUUGGGCCAUAUCAUCAGUGGUUUGGUUGGGUAGAACAGUCCAAGAUAUCCCAACAUAGUUCCAAACCCUUUGGCUGAAGUUGCAAGCAAAGAAGAGAUGGGCCCGUCUUCAUGCUGAGCAAGGUUGCAGAGCACACAAGUAUCAUCCUGGAUGAUCCACUGCCGACGUUGCAUCAUAUCCCUGGUGUUCAACCGAUCCAUUAGCAGAAGCCAGCCAAAAACUUUUAGCUUUAGUGUGCAUGCACACUUCCAAAUCCACUUGAAAAUGGGGUCAACCACAAUGUGCGUGAAGCAAGAGUCAUAAUAUGACUUGGCCCUAUAGUCACCAGAUUUCGAAGGCCACUUCCAAGUAUCCUUGCUCCCAGCCUCCAGGUUGAUCAAAGGCAGUAGUGCUUGUAAUUGAGUAAACUCUGAGUAAGCCUCUUGCGAAAGAGGCAGAUGAAAGUGCUCCAAGAUAUCCAUCUGCUCCAAAAAAUCCUUAACUGUGAUUGCUUCAUCAACAGCAAAAGAGCAAAGCCUCGGGAAACAAUCAUGCAACAAAACCGCCCGAUUUCCCAGAUGCCAUCGAUCGAGCCAAAAAAGCACUGUGUCCCCAGCGUGGACAUGUGGGAUAGCUAGUUUGCAGAAAUUGGGAUGUAAGCGCAUGACAUCACGCCACCAAAAAGAACCACAAAUCUGCGUGCUUUGAGGUGGAGACGAAGCAUAAUAAGAAUCCCAAAUUAAAGAUACCCAAGGCACAUCCACUUUGUUGAACACCCAAACCACCCGAAACCUUAGGGCGACAAACUAGAUCCCAUGCAGCAAGUGACUAUCGUGGAUUAUCCGUGUUGCCUCGCCACAGACAUUGUCGCAUGAUCCGCUCUAACUGUUGAAUAAUUCCUUUAGGAAGGUGCAAAGUGCACAGAAAGUAUAUAGGCAUGGAACACAACACUGACUGAAGAAGCUGCAGACGGCUUCCUUGGUUAAGUAAGCAUGAUGAGGCGGAUAAACGGCGCUCAAUGCGAUCGACCAAAGGCAGCAGAUCAUAAAUGGUGGGUCUAGAUGUACCCAAAGGCAAUCCAAGGUAUGUGAAAGGCAUUGUGCCAACGUCACAUACCAGCAGAGAGGCAACUCUGGCGCCCUCUUCAUCAUACAUAUUUAAAGGGAUGAGGGAGGAUUUACUAAAGUUAACAUGCAAACCAGUAGACUCAGCAAAUGUGACAAGCAUUUCCUUGAAGGCUACGAGCUGUUCGUCAAUCGCAGGUAGAACAAUUAAUGUGUCGUCGGCAUAUUGCACAAUUGGGUAAUCGUUGGAGUUGGUUGGGAUUGGCAGAGACAGAAUAUUCCUGGAGCACAUCUCAUUAACGACCGAUUGUAAUAAGUCAACUACUAUCACAAAAAGCAAUGGAGAGAGAGGAUCUCCCUGCCGCACACCAGUUUUGCAUACAAAAUGCUUUCCGGGCACGCCAUUAAGAAGGACCGAAGAAAAACCCGAUGACAAAAUAUUAUUGAUCCAACCAUUCCACCGAGAGUCAAAGCCCUUGCAUUGCAAAAUUUUGAGAAUUAGGUCAUGCUCAAUCGUGUCAAAAGCCUUCGUAAAAUCCAACUUCAGCAGAACAAUUGGCCCCUUGGAGGCCUUGCAUUGAUGAAUGUACUCAAAACACCAAGCGAGGCAGUCUUGAAUAGACCGACACCGGAGAAAACCGUAUUGAUUACGAUGGAUGCACCGAAGAAUCACAUUUUGAAGACGAUUCACAAGCAACUUGGUCAGAAAUUUGAAGCACGUGUUGGUCAAAGAGAUAGGCCGAAAGUCUCCAACCACUUCCGGGCUGAGUUUCUUGGGAAUCAAAGUAAUUAAAGAGGUGUUCAGACAUUCCAUGUUGCAAUUACCCUCAUAAAACUCCUUCAAAAGAUGCAUGAAAUCAUCCUUAAGGAUUGGCCAACACCUCUUAAGAAACAAUCCCGAGAAACCAUCUGGGCCAGGGGCACGGUCGGUAGGCAUGCUCUUAAUGACAAGAUCAACCUCGGAAUCAGUGAAAGGAUGGGAAAGUUCCUCAAGACCAUCAAUUCUCUCAAUUAAUGUGUCCAAGUCAAAACCCAUAGUAAUUCCUUUGGCAUUACCCAUUCAUUGGUUAAAAUCAGCCCAGAACAUGGUCGCAAUAUGGUGGUGAUCGGUGAUCACAUCACCAUUAGCAUUCUUGAUGGAGGAGAUUGUAUUUCUCCUAUACCUUUCCGGGUUGCUAAUUAUGUUGAAGCAGAAAAUGAGCAAGCACGCCAGGAGGCGUUGGACUUGUUAGAUAAAAAACGAGAUAUGGCUUUAGCCCGUUCGGCGGUUUAUCAGCAAGACCUACAGUGUUAUCAUAGCCGCCGGGUUAGGACAAGAUCCUUUCAAGAAGGCGAUUUGGUGCUUCGGCUCAUCCAGGAUCAGACUGACAUGCACAAGUUAUCCCCACCUUGGGAAGGACCCUUUGUGGUCAGCAAAAAUCUGUACAACGGAUCAUACUACCUCAUUGAUGUUCGAGACAACUCACGCACCUCUGAGUAGGAGACCCGGCGGCCGUGGAACAUAGCUCUCCUACGGCCUUACUACACUUGAGCCAUAGGCUUUUCUUGUGUACAUAUUUUGACAAUGUAUAUAUUGUGAUCAAUAAAAUAAACCAGCAUCCUUGCUAUAAGUAGGGCCUCUCCUGUUUUUUCUCAAAUAUCCUUUGAGUUACAUGGGGGCUUCAGCUGACAAAGCGGAGUACUACCUGUUAAACCGGCUAUACUGCCACAAUACAGCUUGGGAGCUUCACACCCAAGGGGCCAAAGAGAGUCUGGAUGCUUUGCACAACUCAAACAUAGGCACCCAAUGAGCACAGCUCAUCACGUUACUUGGGGGCUCUUUGUGUAAAGUAACAAAGAGUUUGAAAGGACCCUUGUAGCUGGGUAUCGACCCACGACUUGGAAGCCUGGUAUAUUUACCUAAAACCCCGGGUUAACCUGCCUUCAUCAAGUAAGCCACUCCUAUCCAGGUAAUCUUGGCACGACCCUCCGAAUGUUUGACAGUUACUCUCAUUGAGACCCUGAACUUGUCAAAGUUAAAACGGUGAUUGGUUAGUUGGAGGCCCAUCUUAAAAGGCUUUGUCAAAUGGUUUAACCCAGCGUCCUGGCAGCCCAUGAAAAGCCUCGAAUUUGGGCCUGGCAGCCCUCGAAAAGCCUCGACUACACGGUUUUAUUUGCACUUGUCACUAUUCUUUUUCUUUUGAUGACUUCUGUGUUAAACCGGUAUCUUUGAUCUGGUAUGGCUUUUUAGUCAUCAUAUUAACCUGGUGUUUGUUAACCUGGCUCGGAUCUCAACUAAACAUUGACGAACCUUAUCAUUAAAUCGGAGUUUAUUAACCCGGCCUGGCUUUGACUACUUGUCGCCAGUGUUUGUUAUCUGGUGUUCAUCGUAACCCGGCAUGACUUCUUAUACAUCAUUAGUACAUGGUGAAGUUAUACAAAAUUCAAGAUUUGGGUUUUCACCCUUAUUACAAUCAAAGUGAUAUCACAUCACAGGUAUGAGUUAUUUCAUAUUUCUUAAGGUUUGAUUAUCAAAUCGGGCUUUAUUUUGGGUAUUAUGACCCGUCCAGCGGUAAACCGCCAGGACGAACUUUCUUUAUGCAGGCUUCAGAAUCGUGUUAUCAAAGCAUAAGCAAACAUUGCAUGUGUUGUGGCGUUUCAACACAAGUCGUGCAUCAGCACAGCAACUUACAGAGUUUUAAACUAGCCGAUUACAACGCACUUUGAGGCCCAAAAAGUUGAUUGUUCUUACGCAACAAAAGUUUGUCAUAGAAACACCAAUGUAGGAUUAAGAUUCAUCGCCAGGACAGCGUGAAGUUGAAGGAUCUUCAGGCGCCGGUUCACCCUCCUCCUCUCCACCCAGAGGCUGGAAGUCAGGGGUGGUCCAGUCAAUCCGGGUUAGAGCUUGAAAGACAGCUUCUUCAUCUAUCAGAUCGGACGGAUCAACAUCAGGGGCGUAAGUAUGCUUACGAAUUGGCGGAAUAAGGUUCUGCGUCUCUGUCACAUUCGUGUGAACUCGAUGGUUCUCUUCAUCAUAAAAAGACCGAUGAACAGUCAGGUUAGCUUCUGUAGCCAGUUGACUGGACAAUGGGCCCAUCUCCUUUGUCAGGGCUUUCAGUGUGUCAUUGUCAAAUGUUGAACCGUCUGCCUAUUCAUCUGGAAAUCCCUUGGCGAUGUCAACUGGAUCCAAGUCAGAUAUCCAUGCUUUGGCCCGGGCCAGUGCCAGUAAAGCGCCAGCCCUAGCUACAGACCGCUUAACCUCCUCUAUCUGAGACGGUGUCAUGGAUAAUCUUGCUAAUGUCUCUUUGAUCAAAGUUGGUGCCGGUUUGUUAUAAGAGACUGCAGAGAUAGCCCGUUGUGCACCGGUAUACAGUUGUUCAAUCAGUGUAUAAGUCGCCUUCAAAUUCAUCUGCAUAUCUGUUCCAAGAUGAACAAUGUGAUGGCCUGCGACGGUUUAAGAAAUUUAAGUUAAACCAGUGAAGUUGAUAGUACUACAGAGCACGUGUUCUAAGGUACUUACCAAACACGGCAGCCGUCAUGGAAUUCACUUGAUGCUUGAGACCCGCCAGUUCUUGUUCUACCGGUUUAAGGGCCGCUUCAGCAUCUUCUGCCCCCUUCAACAAUGCAGCCUUUUCAGUCUCCUAAUUGGUGCGUUCGGUUUUGAAACCCUCUUUAAGUUGCUCCAUGGCUGACAAGGCACCUUUGAGCUCUUCUUUGGCUUUGGAGGUCUCUUCUUGCUGUAACUUAAGGAUUUCUUGAAGGUCGGCGGUUUGGGACUCUUUUGUCCUCAUAUAAGCCUGCACAAGUCACAAGCACAACAGUUAUAUAUCUCUUGAAGUCCCAAGCACAUAACAAGUUAUACACUUGGCACUUGGGGGCUAAUGUGGACUGCUUUCUAAAGUGGAAAUUUUUCAAAGUCCCAAGGCUCAAUCCAAGUAUUAAGCUUGGCACUUGGGGGCUAAUGCACAUUUGAUCAUUCAGAAGGAAAGGCAAUGAAACAAGGACAAGACAGUUCCGGGUUGUCUCCAAAAAGACAAACCGGAACCCUGGUUGCUACUGCAUGGAAGUUUUUUAUAUAUCAAAGUCCCGGUUUGUCUUUAAGAAGACAAACCGGCCCUUGGGGGCUACAAUGGAGAAGAUAUGCAGAAUGAAAAUUCAAAGUGUUCAUACCUCAUAACGCUCCUUCAUCAGAUUUACCAAACCGGCUUCCAAGUCACGGCUGGUGUACAGGAGGUUUAAGUAACCGGAAUGAAGCUCUUCAGCGCUGAGAUUGAAAAAGUGGAUAAUUCUGUCUUCCCCUUCCCUUUGCCCAUAGCGGUGAAUUCCUCCUUAGCGGUAUGCUUGGCCAAGAUAACCGGAUUGCCAGGGCUGGUGUGGCCCGUGCCAGUAAUUACAACAUCAUCAUCAUCAUUUUUUGGUGGGCUUGGCGGAUUACUGGCACCCCUGGCUGGACUUGGCGGGUUAGCAGCCAGGCUUGGCGGAUCAGCAGUCGGACUUGGUGGAGGGGUAGUACGAGGGCUCGACGGUUCAGUAUGGAUUGCCGGGUCAGCCUCUGGCGGAUUAGCUUCAGUGCUUGCACCUUGCGGGAUGGAGUCAUCCAUAACAUUGGUAUUUCCACCGGUAUCCUCAGCAGCCCUCUCCGGUUCCACUUCACCAAUGGGGUUAUUGGUUUUAGCCUUCUUGCUCAGGCGAGCUUUGGCACUAUGACAUCACAACAAAGAUCAGCACGGUAAACCAAACUGUGAAGGAAAGACAUGAAGAGUAAUAUACUUACCCAGGGACGGUUUUGAGGGGAGGUAGCUGAGUGGUUGAUGAACCGCCAGACGAGUUGGAAGAUGCCUAGUAAUUGGGAUCAGACGGAUUAAGUGGGUCUCUGAAGAAACCCUUCAAAGGAUAAAGUUUUUCAGGAGAACAAGUAACCUCUGGGCGACGUUUCCGGUCUGGCGUAUCUGGUAAACCAGAAGAGGUGAUCUGCUGGCCACUAUGCCGAGUUGUGCGAUGUUCUUCAGCUUGCUGUGUCUUCAAAGAAAAUUUUGGAUCCAGAUAAGCAAGAGGGUGAGAGUAUUUCACUUUUCGAACGGUACGGCGAUAUCGUUGAACCGGCACAAGAUCUGAAUCGGAAGAAUGAGAUAUUACCUCAACAUGGUCCACACGACUGGCUGCCGCAUCAUCCUGGGAAUAGUUAUUGUCAAUAAGAUGUAUGAAAAAGGAACCAAGUGAAUCAAUUUCUACCUCUGCAUCUGAUUCAUCAACAUCUUCCGGCGGAUCAGAAGAUUCGGUGGUCUUCUUCUUGCCCGCUUUCUUGGUGAAUUUGGUUUUUGCACGAGCCCUCGCUGGUUUAGUCCGUUUCCAGAAAGAGCUAUUGGCCUGUAAAAAUUAAAGGAAAAGAGUAUUAGCACAUUAUUAAAGUACAAGCAAAACAGUGAGCAUUAAGUUAAAUUUACCGCUGGCGGUUUGUUGGUGGUGCAGAAUGGUGGCAAACCGGUUUGGCUGCAUGCAGAGAUUGUUUCGUCAAGCAUCUUCUUCACAGACUCAGUAACUUCAAGGUCUUUCAUUACCACUUCAUGAUAUCAUUGAGGAUCUUUGACGUUGCCAGUGUAUUCAUGCAUCAAUCCGGGACGGCGGCUUAAAGGCAGAAUGCCCCAGGAAACCCAGCAGCAGACGAGAUCAAUGCCAGUCAAACCGUUGGCCAUGAGAGCCCGGAGCUUGGCGAUUUGAGGAGCAAAAGUUUUUUAUUCUGCGGCGGAUAAGCGUGAAGGUAAUGGGUGACUGUUGCUAAGCCGUUGAGGGCGGUAACCCAGCAAACGAUUUUCUCCGUCAGGGGCAGUAUUCCGGCAACAAAACCAAGUUUGGUUCCAAUCUUUAGGAUGACUAUGAUGUUUUGCAUGAGGGAAAUCGACUUCUUUCCUUUUAUGAAUUGAAACGCCACCAAGUUCUGUGUUGGGACCAUCAGAGAACUCCGUACGGCGGUUCAAAUGGAAGAAAUCCCGGAACAACUCCACAGAUGGUUCUUCCUGAAGGUAGACAUCGUAGAAUACUUGAAAAUUGCAUAUAUUGGACACGGAGUUCGGUCCAAUAUCUUGUGGAUGGAGUUGGAAGGUUGCGAGGACAUCCCGAAAGAAUUUUGAUCCGGGCGGGCUGAAUCCCCGGUCUAAGUGAUGCAUAAAUAAAAUCACUUCUCCAUCUUGAGGUUCAGGUGGACAUUCAGAGCCCAGAACACGCCAAUGAAGGACCCUUUUUGAGGCUAAAUCGCCAGUGGUGACAUAUCCAUUGAUUUGUGUCUCAGUGAUCUUGGAUGGAACCCAAUUAUAGGCAGAGAAUUGUUUGGCCACCCCGGAAGGAAAAACUGUGAAAGGACAAAUAAAGGCCGGUUUACAAUUAACGGUUUAAGCGUACUAUUCAGAGUUAACCCGGCAAAUUGCCGUUCAAGUUCAGUUGGCGGUUUAAGAGAGGGCUAAUGACAUAUGGCGGGUUGGUUAUCAAAGGUUAAACCGCCCGUAGGCAGAAGGGCUAGGGUUCAAAAUUUACUAAGUGUUACAAAAACAAGUUUCACAAUAUCACAGUACAAUUUUGGAUCUACCGUGGAUAACUAAAGAAAAUUUUACUGAGCCCUACAAUGGCGCUAAGAGGAACAGUGAAGAUCUAGAUGCAGUCUGUCAGGAGCAGUAAGAAGCCGCGGGAUGGUGGACUAUCAAAAUGAAUCUAGCCGCGAAUCAAAACUAGCAGAUGCAUAUAUGUACCUUCAGUAAAAGGACUAAAGAAAAAAGCUGCGGAAAAACUGAGCAACGACGACAUGGAUGAACUCGAAAACCCUAAUAAAGAUCUAGGGUUACAUGGCAUGAACUUACCAGAGCCACUCGGCGGCGGAAGAGUGCAGCAGGGUUUCUCGAACAAACAGGUUGAUGCAGCGGCCUUGGUCGGUGAAGUUUCGAAGAUCGACGGCAGCGGCGGUGCUGGGUUUCUUCGGGUCGCGAGAAGAUGCGAAAGGGGAGAAAACUGAAAGGGCCUGAUGGGCUUAUUUAUAAUAAGGCAGGGGAUAAGUGACAGGCGCGAGAAUCGAGGAGUCCAAAGUGGCAAGUGGCGCAGCUGUCGCCUCGAUUUCCGGGAUGACAUUAAAUGAAUGGAAUCUUUUUAUUCGUUUUCUACAGAGAUGACGUCAUGAUGAUCCGUUGCUGUGACCAGAGGAUGACGUCACGACGGUUUAACAUGAUUUAUAAAGGGAAGACAUCAUGGUGGUUUAUGAGAAAUGAAGGAAGAUAUUCACAUGAUUUUUCUAAGUGUUGAAGAUUGACAUGAACCAGUUCAAAUCAAUCUCGGGCCUAAUGUUGGGGAUAUAACUACUGAGUGUAAACCGCCCAGGAGGGGCCGGUUCACCCUCAACUAUAUUGAAGCCCACGAAGACUCAGAAGAUGGCGCUUUACUAUGAAGCUUAGAGGCCCGGAGCCCAAAGGCGGAUUAGGGCCCAUAGUUGUAAACCGCCAUAGUCAUAUAACUUGUAUUGUAAGAAUAAGGAAAGGAGAGACCGAGCCGAACACUUGUAUGAGUCGGCCUCGGGAUUCUGUAAGCCGGCCGGGCGUCAACCCGUGUAUAUAAGGGGACGACCCGACGGCGGUUCAGGGAAAAGAGACAACUUGAUAGCCAGGCAUAGCUUGUUUAGCUCCCUUGUAGCGAGACCCCAAUAAUCCCAUCACAACUAGACGUAGGCCUUUACCUUCAUCGAAGGGGCCGAACUAGUAUAAAAUCUCUCAUGUCCUUUGUCCGGUUUAACCCCUUUAAGCUAACCCGUUGCGAUGGCUCCACGACUAAGUCCUUACAUGAGGACAUCUGACGUGAUAUUUCCACGACAAUCUUCUUAUCAAGCAAAUCACUGGCAUUAUAUCGACAUGCAAAACAAUACGAAGCAUUAUUCUCAGGAGGCACGGUGAACAGCUCAUGAUGCCGCAUGCCACAACAUUCCAAGCUCAACUUUGCAAUCAAACACAAGGCCUGUCAUUACAUAGAAAAUAUUUAGAACAAACUCUUAACACAUGAAUAUCUCAGCAGAGUAACUAUUUACUUCUAAACUGAACACAAGAAUAGGACAAAACGAUCGACGCUGCUCAGAGCAAAGGGCGUCCCACUAAAAAAAUAUCAAAUGCAUGUCUUCUGGCUAACAUGUCUGCAUUGGAACAAUUUUUGCUCACUUAAUGGUAAAAGAGAACAGUUCAAUAGCUUCAAUUCAACAUUUAUCCAAAAUAGUACCAAUACAAGUAGCACAACAUCUCAAAGCACACUGCAGCAUCAUGUGGAUGAAAGUCGGUACUGACCUUUCUUGACCAACAUUUCAAACAGCUCGCGAGGAAGACAUGAAAGAUAUCCCAACACAUAUAUGAAAUCUCGAUCUCCUUUUGUGCAGUUCCACCAAAAUUAAGCAAAGUCGCCGGUGUGACAUUCAAGUUGAACUGCACAAAACACUCUUAAAACAAAGUGUUUCCCGUAGCAAAGCAAAAAUGUCGCAAUAGCAACAAGUUGAAUAGAUAUCCCUGUUUAAACAGAGGCAAAAAAGGAAUCAAUUACUGGCUAAUGAGGGAGGAUGAAACAUGGGGCCACAAAAAUGGUAAUCCCGCCAAUCCCUAACAAGUGUUGUAGUUUUGAAAUAAGAUUCAGUAGUUAAUUCUGAGAGUGGCGUUGCUUAAUUUUUACCAGCGGCAUUAGAUUAACGAAAAGCAUAAAUAGUUCCAGGGGAGAGUGUGCGCAACAACAAUAUGUGCUUCCAUCUACUUAUAAAGGGGUGAUGUUGAAUUUGUUGUAACAAAGCAACAAGCAUCAUGUCUGGAUUGGUCCCAUUUUUGUUCACUACUUAAUGGGAAAAGACAACAAUACAACAGCUUCAAUUCAACAUUUAUAUAAAAUAGUACCAAAACAAGUAGCACAACAUCUCAAAGCACACUGCACAUCAUGUGGAUGAGGCCAAGAUUUGAAACAACUCGCCACCAAGACUGGAAACAAAUCUCGAUCUCCUUUUGUGCAGUUCCAUCAAAAUUAAGCAAAGUCACCGGUGUAACAUUCAAGUUGAACUACACAAAACACUCAUAAACCAUAAGUGUUUCGCACAGCGAAGCAAAAUGUCACAAUAGCAACAAGUUGAAUAGAUACCCCUUUUUUAACCGAGGCAAAAAAGGAAACAAUUACUUGCCGAUAAAGGAGGAUGAAACAAACGGCAACAAAAAGAAGCAUCCAACUUAUCUUGAUGGAAAACAAAUUAGGAUAGUAGCAUUUCUAAAAUGGUUGCAUUGAUUCAUAUUAACAAAGACAUUCUCUUGGAACAACAUUCGUUAAAAAUGUAAUUUACUUUUAACAGUGGCUUUGCUUCAAUUUUCUGGUGGCAUUCUUAGAUUAACAACAGCAAAAUAGUUGUAUGGGACAUGGGACAUGGGACAUGCCAGCACCAUGUGCGUCCACACGUAUAAAUGGGUGAUGCAGAGUAUGUAGACAAGUAGGAUAUCUGCGUUGGUCCCAUAUUUGUUCUCUUCAAACUUUUUCCUAUGUGAGGGCAGCAAAUCUAGUCCUGCAUAAACUACCCGACCCCCAGUUUCGGGUUACCCCCCUUUUCCCUUUUCGACCAAAAAAGCGGCUGGAUAGCCAGUCUAUACUACUUUCCUUCCCUCCUUUCCUCAUUGAACCACAUCCUAGAUUCAUGCUCCAUCCCACCGAACCCUUAUUUCCUCUUUGAACCAAGACCUAGAUUCGACUACAGAUCGAAAAAGAUCCACAUGCAGCUAGAGCAACGAUGGUUUCAAAGAAACUUAUACCUUAGGGUCGUCGGGAUGUGGUAAGGUGUGCGGCGGGAGGCCGGAUCUGCCCACACUACGUACGACAGCAAGGAAGAAGGGGUCGGUGGCCCUCCUGCAUAGGCGCUGGGUGAAAUAGAACAACGCAGCCGACAAUGGAUUUCCUCCCUCGCUGAAGGCGAUAGAGUGAACGCUGCACCUCCUCCCCUUCCCGGUGCGACGGGAUCCGGACGCCUCCUUCACCAGCUAUGAGGGGGGAGAGAGAGACAAGAGGCCAAAGCAGUCUUGUUUAGAUCUGGUGAAGAGAGGGUGACAGACUAUGAAUAUAGCAGACCCUAGCAAAUGAACGAUGAGCCUCCAGCGUGUAUAUAUACAUGUUGUGUGGCGAGAGUGUGGAGAGUGCAAACCCUAGAGAACAAGCGCUGAGGCUCCAGCUUAUAUAUAUACUACUGUAGUACGGACUGAGCUCUGGUGCCUUAACUAACCUGCUUUUCGCUGUAUGACAGGUGAGCCAGCCACAUUUUGGGCCCACAUGUCAUAAACCCAAAGGCAGGUGCACUAAGUCAAUGAAGCUGCGUCCAUAUAGUACAGUGUAUAUGACUAAUAUAUAGUGGAGUGGUUUUCUUAUUCUCUCCAUAACAAUCGUUUUAAAUUGUGUAAGUACGAACCAGAACUCUUUAUUUAACAUACAGUGAAGAAAACUACUACUACUUCCGAUGAACUAACAAUCCACGCGUCCUGGUCGCACUUCCUGUCCUUCACGUGCAGUAUACUACCCUCCCUUAAGUGAACAACCACACAUGCGCCAAAUUAUCGGACACGUGUGAGAGUGUGUACAAAUAAAGAAUUUGAAUUUCAAUUAUCUGAAAGGUUUGAGAGUAUUACAAAGUUUGACUUCAGCCAAAUCUAAUAUGCGGAGUAAAUAAAAAUGGAGGGCUACUACGUCCAUUCGGGUUUUUAGUCCACACCAUUUUUUAAAUCAAAGUUAAUAGCUGGACAAAUAAAAUCUCAGGGGAGCUGGAGACAAAGUUGUGAGAAGGCUUAGAAACCAAUACAAAACUUAUGCUCUUAGUACCAACGUCGAUCCUUCUUCGAGGAAACAUUUGGUUCAUAGCCAAUUGUGUGAUAAAAUUGCACCAACGUGAAAAACGACUGCGUUUCCAACGCAACCAAGGUGAACUGACGAAGGAUAUCAUCUUUGUGCGUAACAAGCAAAGAGAAUAAUGGAAGACAACUUGUUUUUCAUUGAAAAUCGACCAGCUUCACCAGCUGACGCAACCAUGAGGCGCAACCAUGAGCAUCCAUAGGUCAUCAUGGUGAUGCAUCAUCCAUUUGGCAUCAAGUUUGGGUGAGGCACCUAUGAAGUUCGACAAAUCCUCACUGUGGUCUGUUUCUUCUCAGUAAUCAAGCUCGAGGAAGGAAGAACCACGUGGCAGAGGACAGUGAGGCGGAACAACAAUGGCCAUCCAAUUUUGUAAAGUUCCACUAAAAUUGAGGAAGACAUGCCCGGGUAUGGAGAUACGCAUCGCUGUUUCCAAAAAUAUAAAAAAGGGAUAUAGUGUUGUUACUUUGUUUUACAAGAUUAGCAACGACAUCUCAAUUGUCAAUAAGAAUUAAUGAAAUGUACACCAACAAACAGAAGCAUCAUGAUUAGCUCGAUGGGAACUAAACCAGGAUACCCGAGAAAAAAAGCAUUUCUUCAUUUAACCAGUGAUAGUAUUAGAUUAGCAGCAGAAAUAGGAGCAUAUGGACAAUGACCGCACAACCACCAUGUACUUUUUGUCAAAACAACAUGUAUACCUCCACCGAGGCAUAAAUCAGGACAACUUUUCGAGUGGCAUUUCCUCUAUAAUAGUAGGUGAUGUUGGACUAGCCGACGAACCCUAGCUACUAUACAUGGGGAGCUGGGGAGUAGUCGCAUAGAAGAAAACCCGCACGCAGCGACCUGGGGAGCUAGACUAGUACAAGAAGUUAUACCUCAGGUGGGUGAGAUGUCGUUUAGGCGGCCGGGCGGGAUCUGCCCACACGACGGCAGCGAACAAGGGUGCGGAGGACCUUCAUCCGUGCCAGCGCCAGCUACAAGAGGACGGUGCGCAUCGGCUUCCUCCAUCGCCGACGGCGACAACUUCAACACUGCACCUCCUCACCUCCUGCAGUGGACGGGAUUCGGCCGGAUAUGUGACCACCGGUGAGGAGAGAGAUAGAGUGAACACUGUCAUCUUGUUUUGAUAUGGAGAGGGUGAGAGAGCGAGACGCGAGAAACUCUAUCAAACAAGAGGCUAUAAUGGAGUAAAAAAAUCUCUCCAUAGUAGUGGUUUUAAAUACAAUACGCGCGUUCCCGGAAAAAAGAAACGAAUACUGGCGGACUAUUUUUUGACGUACCAAGAAAGAAAACUCGAUCAAAAACACGCCCCCGCUUCCAGGUUGCGAGAGUCGUCGCACACACACACAUAGACAUAGACAUGCAUAUCCGUGUUUACAUAAAAUUCCAUUUCCAUCUCCAUCUCCAAUCAUAUUUGUGCAACUGGCACAUUAUUUACGUUGUUAAUUAUAUAUGCAGCAAUAUUAAUGUACAUCAUCUCUUGUUUGUGGGCGUCCGGACCGCUGCCACGGCCGGUCCUAACCAACCCGAACCCUCGUCAUCACCCGCGCGUGCUUCCCGCCCGAAACGGUCAGUGCCGCAUUCAUGCCCGGCCAGAGCGGACGCGACCUCUCACUGGCGCCAACAUUGAAGCGGCGCGCCGGCCGAGAGAGCGUUGCCCGUGCUGCUUCCUGGUGCACGCGACUGCUCCGCGUUCAAAGGCCACAAUAGCCGGCCACAACAUGCAUGUAAAAAGUUCUUGGGAGUCCGUGCUACAACUAGCUGUCCUCCUCCAACUCGUCAAUCUCUUCCAGUAGUGUUAGUACUCCAUGGCACGAUCCAUCGACAAGCAGGCGAGAAAUUUAUCGUAUACUUGGUUUACGGUGAGUGGCACUACAAGAAAUAUGUCAACUUGUGACCUUGACUAUUGGUCUCUGAAAGGUCAUUGUUUUUCAUUUGCGACCUUUUUGUGACCAAAAACAGAAGGUCAAAAGCUGGCGUUCAUAAACAGAAAUUAACGACCUUCUCUGUGAGAAGGUCGUAGAUGUUUAUGACCAAAACAGAAGGUCGUUGAACCCAUGACCUUUUAUUUUGGUCACUGGCUGUCUGCCCAGGUCACGUCGGAUCCGACGUGGCAAUCUGACGUGGCAAAAUUGCGACCAAUUGAAAAGGUCGUUGAUAAGAUUCAUCCCGGUCCAAUUCUGUCUUUUAUAUGGGCCGAGCCCACUAAUUCCAGCAAAUUUAUGUUUUUUAUGGUCAACUAAAUGGGCCAAGCCCAAAUUUUGCAGGCCUUUUCUUUUUUGGGCCCUUUACUUUUCCUUGUAAAUUUCUUUAUUUGGCCUUUUCAUUUUGUUUUUUGUUAGCCUUUUCAUUUUGUUUUUUAUAACUUUUGGGCAGAAUUAUUAUUUUUGCUAUUUAAAAUAAAAUAAACUUCCACAUGAACAUCAUCCGUUGGCUGUAGCCUUUUCAGGCACAAUACAACUUUAAGCAUAGAAAAUUGGAAAACAGAUAUUUAACCCAUAUAUAUCGUUGAGAAUUUUUCAUAAUUUUGCUGUCAAAGCAGCAUGUACACAGGAAUACAAUUUUGCUGUCAAAGCAACAUUUCUAACGUACAUCUUCAUGACAUCGUACAUAAAAACCAACAAGAAAAAGAUUACAAUAUGCCAUAUGGCUCAGGUCUUGCAUGCGCAGCAUCUCACAUUCAUGUCCAGGAAAGGAGGGAAGAGCGAUUUGCGGCGAGCUAUAUACCUGCUUGAGUUGUUCUGAAGGAUACACAUUCCCGAAGGACACAAAAAGUAGAGGUAUUAUUUUGGACAAUAAGCUCCGAGACAACAUUGUAGGCUAUUAACAUAAAAGAAGUUAUUAUCAGGUUAAGCCUGCUUAGUUUAGUGAUCAUUUUCUCAUACAAUUUUAUUUCAAAUUAACAAUAUCCAGAAUCAAGCAAGGAACUAAACAUCAGCAGCAAAAAGGUGAGAAACUACAUCAAUCAACAAGAUAAUGGCUGUAUGAUUUGUUCUUCAGGAACUUGGACAGCUAAUCGACCAAAAAAGUUCAUGGAGCUCCACAAUAAUAGGACCAUGACAGUUAGUUACUAUUUGCUUCAAUAAAUGAAUGUAAUAAACAUUGUACUGAUAUCCUUUGCUAACACUGCUAGGCUGCUAGCUGUGUGUGUUCAUCCAUCCAUCCAUGGACCUAACUAAUAUUAUUUGUAUCUCUAGACUGGAAUCAAAUGAUCAUUAGUGUUAUUAUUAACUUGAUGGUGGCAUCUUCUAGCAGGGUACAAAUUUCACACAAGACAUGAAAAAUAAAUGAGUCAAGGAGCAUCAUACAGCACAAUCACAAUCAAAUUAUGCAUAAAAACUGAACCAAUACAAUGCUGCUAUGUUGUGGCUAUAACAAUUGCAACUGAUGCCCACUUCAUAUCAGAUCUACAAGGGGUAGAAGGAGGGGUGGAGCUCACCAUGUAAGGGGGGCGGAGGAGGGGAGGAGGGCAUCACAACUUCAGAAAAUGUUGUAUGUGCAAGCUGCAAGUUGACAACAAUUCAAUCCAUCCAGAGGAAGGAGAGUGGCAAGACAAACAAACUAGGUAGGCAACCAUCGAACUACACUCAGACGCCAAUAGCCAUGAGCACCAACCAAAUCAACCAAAUUAUGUAUGGCUUCAGUAUGUACCAUGUGAUGUGUUGUAACACUCACUCUCGAGCACAAAAGAGAAGCAGUGUACAAGACAAAUUGACAAAAUGGUUGGGUGUCAAAAGUUUCGAUCCACCUCUCGUGAAAAAGACAAAUUUCCGCCGAUUCAGCUAGAAGCGGGUCAAAUUUGAACUGCAGCUGUCUUAUAGUUUGCUAUUUAUUUGUUCCAAAAAUCAUUUCUAGUUACAUAAGUACCUAUUUAAUCAUAAAUACAUGGUUUGGUGGCGAUACGUCGAGGUUUGGACGAUGGCCGGGGCCUCCAACUCUAGAGCGUGUAAACUCACAUGCCCGUCGCGUGGUCACCGCGUGACCGUGGCGUUGCCAUGUGUUCUGGGUGGCCUAGGCAUGUCUAGUGGGUUUGGAACUCCCUAGGUAGGUGCUAGUACGAAAAUUACAACAUAAGAUUCUCACGAGGAGACCGAUCGAUGCUCAAACAUGAAUUAGCAGCCAAGUGUUUGAUUAGCGGUACGGGAAAUGCAGAUGGCUAAUGGGCGUGAGUUUUGGCUGAGGAUGAUCAGUUACUAAGAAGACCGUCUUCACAAAUUUCUAGCUCAAAAGGAGGAGCCUAGGUGGUACUUGCUUUGCAAAGUACCACACUGGACAUAAAUACGAAUGUUGAAGCUGGGCUCAUAAUAAUGAAUGGAUUGAGAUGGCAUUUGGUGGAGGAUGGUUAUUUGGGCAUAGGAAAGCACUAUAGAAAAUGGAUACUAUUUGGACAUGCCAAAGUGGUACUUCCUUCACAAUGCUCUUCUCUGGACAGGAACUUCGGAAAAUUAGUGAGAGAAAUUGGCUAAAUGAAAUGAGCUCAAAUUUGGUGUAGGUAAGUUACAUAGGCAUAUAGAAUAUGUGGAAAAAAUUCAACUCAUUAGGAUAUGCAUAGCUAGUACUUCUUUCACGAAGGUUCUAGGUGGACAAAAACUUUGGAAAUUUGCCGAGGAAGAUUUACUGGGCAAAUGGAGCUGAAUUUUGUCAUCAGGUAAUGAUUUGGAUAGGAAAGAGUGCCCAAAAUUUCUGAGGGCAACCAAGAAUAUAUAAAUAGCACUUCCUUCACAAUGCUCUUCUCUCGACAGAAACUUCAGAAAAUUAGCGAGAGAAAUUGGCUAAAUGAACUGAGCUCAAAUUUGGUGUAGGUAAGUUACAUAUGCAUAUAGAAUAUGUGGCAAAAAUUCAACUCAUUGGGAUAUGCAUAGCUAGUACUUAUUUCACAAAGGUUCUAGGUGGACAAAAACUUUAGAAAUUUGCCGAGGAAAAUUUACUAGGAAAAUGGAGCUGAAUUUGGUCAUGAGGCAAUGAUUUGUAUAGGAAGUAGUGCCCAAAAAUUUUGAGGGCAAUCAAGUAUAUAUAAAUAGCAGUUCCUUCACAAAGUGUUGUUCUGAAUAGAAUAGAAAAAUGAAUAUUGUUGAAUUAUUUUUGAACUAGGCAAGGAAGGUUUUUUACAUAUUUGAUGAAGAUAUGACCCAAAGAAUUUAUGAGUUUUUUUGGGAAUUUUGUGAAUGACAGAAAUAUAGGUUGCUUCACAACUUAGGGCAAACAUUGACACAUGGACAUGACACAUAGGCAAAACUGAUGAGGUGGCGCCUAGUCAUAGCAACCCACCACAAUUUACAAGGUCAUGACCAUCUAUAUUGGUCAUGAUCAGCUAGAAAUAAGGCAGCGGACCAGUGCUAUCUGCUUUAUGACCAUUUCGUGUAAGGAAAUUACGACCUUUCUGACCAUAAUGGUCGUUAUUGUUCAGCGUUUGGAGCCCCCCGAACAACUUUUGACCAAUUUGUCUCAAAUGGUCAUAGAUCUAUGACCAAUUCUUCCAGGGUAAUUGACAGAAGGUCACUAGUUGACAUAUUUCUUAUAGUGUGACAUGCCGAGCGACUGUGUGGGGUCGAGCCGUGGAGGAGGGUGAGACACAAACACGACAGACGUGAUUUAAACGUUGGUUUUGCUCGAUGGCGCGAUCCAACGAAACGAAACGUUGGUUUCUCUCUUUUUCCAUUUUAUCUCCGGAAAAACGGAAACUUUCCACUCCAUUUUCAUUCCUAUUCCAAGGUUGCCCCGUUAAAACAUUCCAUCAAAUACAAAGGAAAACUAACACGCAUGCAGAUGCAUCUCAAUGAUUCACAAAUCAUAGCCAAUAUUUACUUCACAACUAAAGACAAAAGUUGUGAGAGCGUGUAUGAAAGAAAAACUACUGAUGGGGUCACUACGACUUAAACCCUAAAUCCUAAACAUGAUUUAAUUUCCUGGCCAGGUAGAACCUGUCGAAGGAAAGACGGCUGGCACCCUCCGGAUCAUACGAUGCUUUUGUGCAGUUCCACUAAAAUCGAUCUGAGCAUCCCUGAUGGCAAAGAUAUUGAAGAAGUGUGAUUAGAAUAAUAGCACUAGCACUAGUUCAUGAGACAUAAACUCAUCACAGGUAGAAGCCGGUAGAAGUAGACAAAGAUCGACAUGGAGAUGGAGCUACGGCAGUGGAGCAAGCUGGCUCCAAAAGGAAGAUGGACUACCUGGGACGUCGGGCUGUAGCUAGAAGGGUGGUUGGGACGCGACAUUAGCCCAUACCGCGGUGACCCCCGAUUGGGAUGACUGUGGGUUUUCUCCCUCGCCGAUGUUGACCGCGUCUAUGCAGAACACUAUUCCCUUCCCCCAGCUGCGGGAUCAGGCCGGAUAUGUGACCAACGGUGUGGCCACCAUCGUUCUAUGCUUGUGAAGAGAGCAACGUAAGCAAGCAGGCUUGUAGCUUAGGCUCCUGCUAGUGUAUAUAUAGUGAUUUUCUUUUUCUCUCCAUAUAAACCAUUUUAUAUUGCGUACGUGUCAUUCAAGAGUGAAAUGAUGGUUGCUUCUUCCGACUAACUUAUUGUGUGAUUUGACUGCUCCUUAGUGCCCCGUACACAUACUCCCCCUAUGUGUAUGCAACAGUCACACAUACACAUGGAUGCAAAAACACGCGCGACGCCCUAAUGCAUGCAUGUCCGAGCACACGACGGAACACAGACAGUCACGCUCAAGUGUUCAACCUACACGUGCAUGCACACACAUACUCAGUUAGGGUGAGCUAGUGACAGUAUAAAGACCGGAAAAUAUAUAUAUUGAGCGCAAUGAGCGUACUAUGAAGUCCACUGACCGUAUUUUUACAAAUAUACAGUGACAGAGAGUGUAUUUAUCUCCUUUGAAAUUAAGCCAUGUUAACCGGAGAGGAGGCAGUAUGGACUAGCAUUACUUUGCUGUGUCCCGUCAACUUGCCGAACGAGGAGAAGGUUGUAGAAUGGGAGAAGCUUGCAUGCGGUGGCUCGCAGGACAAGGAGAAUCUUUUGACUAAUGCAAGCUCUCCCUCACUCAGGCGGUGGACAUGCAACAGUUAAUUCGGUGUUAGAUUGCCAGAAGCAUACACUAUACUAGUACUAUUAUUGUUUGACUUCCCGAAUAGGCGAACAGCCAAGCGCAAAGUUUACUAGUAGUACUAGUACUACUACUAUAGUCUAUAGAGGUAUGUACUACUAUACUAGUACUAGGAACCGGAUGGAGGAGCGUCUGCACUCUUUUUAUAAUUUUAAAAUGUGAUAAAGCAAUCUUCAACACAUUUGGUUCUCUUCGAGGGUUCUCGCAUGUGAUAAUGGAAGUUGAUUUCAUGGAACACUCGCCACAAUUCUCACUUGAUUUUGGCUCAUAUCCUGUUACAAAUAGGAGGGCUUGGUAAUAUUCCCUCUUUUUUUGUUAGUCAGCAUGUAAACAGGUCAGCAAACCUUGCGGCACAUCUUUGUCCGAACCAUGCUUGUUGCACUUUGAAUGUGGCUGAGAGCUGGCUUGAUGAAACACCUCGCUUCCUACUUCUUUUUUUGUGGGGUACCUCGCUUCCUAGUGACCAGUGUCUUGGCUAGUCGUCCUAAGAAUGCUUAUAUAUGAAUAAAGCUCUCUCAUUUACCCGCAAGAAUAUUAAUCCAUAUUAACCGGAAUGGAGGGAGUAUGGACUAGCACUACUUUUCGGUGUGUCCCGUCAACUCGCAGAAUGAGGAGAAGCUUGCAGGACAAGGUGAAGCUCGCUUACGCCGUUUGACUAAUGCAACCUACCCUCGAUGGACAUGCAUCAGUCCAUUCGGUGUCAGAUUGUCAGAGGCAUACACUGUAGUACCCAACAUGUGGAGUUCCAUCAUUGUUCGACUUCACGAAGAGGCAAAGAGCCAAGUGCAAGGUUUAGUAGUACGAGUAGUACUACUACUAGAACCGCAUGGUGGAGCGCCUGUACUCUUAUUUUUUUAAUCUCUGGUAAAGUACAUGUUUAUUCCAGAGAAGGGCGGAAAAUGGCAGCCCAAGAUGUAAUGAUGAUAUCGAUCAACCAACCAUGCUCGAAUAUAUCUUGGCCUCCGUGCGAGCCCGUCUGCGUGUUCUCGCUCCCCGUCUCUCUCAAGGAACGACGGGUUGGCCAUUUUGCCGUCAAUUGAGAUCGGUUUGCUCACACCCCUGUCCCACAUGUCAGUGAUAUGCCAAGACGAGGUGUGUUGACCGACUGGCCAUACGUGUACUUGGUUUUGCACCUUCAUAUACUAAUCCUUCCUCCAUCACAGUUUACAGGGCGCGCUUCAAUAUGAUGCAUUUCUCUCAAUGCAUUUCCACCACCAGAGAGACUUUAGACGCGUUUGGUUUAAUGCUCAAUGAAUUAGGGCGUGGUAACCGCAAUCAAGUCCACAAUUUUCUCUCGAUGUACUACUACGGAGUGGAGUAAGUGCAUGCAUGUGUGUACCCGGGGUGGAAGCACUGCAUGUAUGUGUGUACGCAUUAUUUCCUCUAGUAAUAGACGCCAUGCUAUAACUACCAAUGCUAUUUUUCAGGCCGAUCGCUAGUCGCCUUGGUCCCAUAGAUUUUUUUGAAGCGUGCUCUAUAAAACAGUGACGGAUGGAGUAGUAUGAGCGGAUUCAAAGAAGAGCGUAUUGAUGGUUGCUUCUCCGAACAACUUACAAUGGGAAAGGUGGGGCUUAUGAUUUGACUUCUCAUUACUCACUAUUAAUGCAGCGCAACUACCGGGCUGAGUCCCCCAUGCGGUUGUGCACUACCCCCUCGGUUCUUAAAUACACUCCGGAGUAUUUGUCUUUCUAGAGAUUUCAACGAGUGACUACUCAAAUAUUUGUCUUUUUAGAGAUUCAAAUGGACUACUACAUACGGAUGUAUAUAGACAUAUUUUAGAGUGUAGAUUCACUCAUUUUGCUCCAUAUGUAGUCACUUGUUGAAAUCUCUAGAAAUACGAAAAGAGUAUUUAGGAACGGAGGGAGUACACAUACGAAGCAAAAUGAGUGAAUCUACACUCUAAAAUAUGCCCAUUUGAAAUUUGUAAAAAGACAAAUAUUUAGGAAUGAAGGAGUAUAAUUUUGUGCAUGGCACAUGGACCCGGAUGUUGAAGAGGCUUCUGGCAAUGCUACCGAACUUCCAACAUUUGUUUACAUAAUUGUCGUACUAUACAAAUAAUUUUCCAGCGACAUGAAAUUGUACAAUGGUGUGAGCUUUUAGCUUUUGUUUCAUGUGUCUGGCCAUCGAUGCUCUUUCGGAAACAAUAAAAAACUAACUUCCUUGCUAAUGCAUCGCAAUUAUUAGCAGAUUAGGGCUAAUAUUUACAUCACAACUGAAGACAAAGUUGUGAGAAAGUGUUAAAUUAAAAUUGAUCCAUGCUUUCAUUGGCAGCAACGUCCACCCAGCUCUGUCUAAAUCAACAAGGCAUGUUGGGAAGAAAGUAGCUGUCUAGAGCAUGCAACAUUCCGAUCAUUUUGUGCACUUCCACUAAAAUAGAGCUGAGCAUCCCUGUUCCAAAGAUACUAAGUGUGAUUACGAUAACAGAGGACUGCUGAUGAAACAAUAAACACACAAAUAGAAGUCGGUCACCUUUGCAGUCUCUCUUAAGACUAACUAGUUGGAGAAGAUUAGGCUCGGAGUUGGAUGAGGAGGAUAGAGCAAAACCAAUCUCCCUUUGUGCAGUCGCACUGAAAUGUAGAGACGUUGCCCGUGUGACAUUUUAGUACAACUGCAUAAAACACUCUUAAGAAAAAAGUGAUUUGUGCAGUUCACCAAAAGGUCGCAAUUGCAACGAGGUGAAAUGGAGAGCCCUAUUUGCAAAAAAGAGGUAGAAAGGAAACAAUUACUGGCCAAUAACAGUUGAUGACACAUGCGACGACAAAAAAUAAGCAUAUUCCUUGUCCUAAGGGAAGAUACCAACACAGUUGUGUUUGUCUAAAAUGGUGUGAGGACAAGAUUGCAAUAUGGAAAGUAUGCCGGACGAGCUACGUUUUGGGCAAAUAACUAUGGAAGAUCCACAUGCAGCGACGUGGGAAGACGGGCAGUGGAGCAAGGCCGGAGGGGAUACCUGGAGGUCGUCGGGAUGUAACUAGGUGAGCGGCGGCAGGCGGAAUCUGCCCAUACUGCGGCAGUGAGCAGGUGGCGUAGGCCCUACCGUGCCGUAACUUAGUCGGAGAGAACAACGUGUACAGCAGAAUGGGACGUGCUGUGUCGGCGCCGUCGAACGGAGAAACGAUGCACUUCCUCCCUUUCCCUCGGCGGAUGGGAUGCGCCCGGAUCACUGACUAACGGUGUGAGAGAGAGGCCACCGCAGCCUUGUGUGAGAUACUCUGAAGAGAGACAAACCAGGCAGGCAGGCUCCAUUGUAUAUAGUGGAACGGACUACCAUUUUCUCCAUAAAAAUCGUUUUAUAUUCUGUGUAUGUUCCUUUGAGCGCUAUAACUUUAUUUAAAAAUAACGCGCCAACGCGUCAAGUCGAACUUUGUUUCGUGCACGUGUGGUACCACGACCUCCCUAGGUAAACAACCGCUACAUGCGUUCAAAUUAGCACAUGGGCUACCAUUUCGUAAAGAAAUGAGCUCCACCGUGUACCUGCGCGGGUGUGGUUGGGCACGAAGCGUGAGUACCUGCACGGUGCACCUAUUCUCUUCUUGUAUACGUUGUGUGAGAGAGAUACAAACCUAGAGAGAUACAGUGUGUUGGGUUCGUGAGAGUUUUUUUUGGGGGGGGGUCAAUAAAAAAAUGUAACAUAUGCAAUGUGUGUGAAAUAGAGUCCUGGAUAUAUCAUAUAUAUAGAGGGGGCGAUCCAGGAGAAGAGAGUGGAGGUAUCAUCGGCUUGAGAUGUCCAUAGAGUCGAAGAGAGGGAUGAUGUGUGUGUGUGUGUGUGCGUGUGUGCACGCGAUCGAUAAAGAGUGCCAUCGAAUUUGUGUGUGCCCACGUCAAAUAUAUAUAGUGGCUGGCCUACUGGAAGGUGAGAGGGGACAUGUGCAGUUUGUCUCUGUGGCAUGGAUACCUACCUACAGUGCUCGACUAUCGGUGCGUGGUAGGGGGAGAGGGAGGCCUAAUUAAAUAUAGAGGUACAAUGACUGGUAUAUGUGUGGAGGAGGAGAGAGGCCUACCUCAUGUAUUAAGGAGAUCGAUCUAGCUCAUGUAUUAAGGGAGAUUGAUCGGCAUCCAUGCAUAUGUGUAGGAGAGGAAUAAGGUUGGGAGAGAGACAGAGCUAGAGUGUUGGAGGGGGUGGUAGUGGAGUUGCUUCUAACAAAUGGUGGGAUAGGCUUGCUAGACAAACGGAGGGCACGCCCGCAAUAUCAAUAAGAGAGGAGAUGGCUGCUUGUCUAUGCACGUGCGUGUGAGAGAUGGGCCAGGAGGCAUGCACGAAUGAUAAGGGAGGACGAUAUGGCUGCGGUAAGCAGAUGUAACUACAUUGGAAGAUCAAUUGCCCUUUGUUAGAGAAAGGAGAGACAUAACUUGUGAGGUACAUCGAACGAUGGGGAGGGGGGAAUAGUUAAAGUCGAUCUAGGUAUAUGUUGGGAGAUCGAUUGGUAUACAUGCAUGUGUGUGUUAGAAGCAAAUGAGGCACAUGGAGAAGGAUAGAGGGAGAGGGAUGCAUCUAGGAGGUGGUACGAGAGGCAUAUUAUAUCGAGGGGGAAGGAGUGUGCGAGUACGAGAUCGAUGAAAAGAGUGGUGGGAGUGAGGCAUGGACGAUGAUAAGAGAAGAGGGGAAGCUUGUGUUUGUGCUAGGCACACCUGGCUAGAGAGGCAUAUCGAUCGAUGUGUGCCGUAAAGAAGGAGCUGGGGGGCCUACACACACCGUGGGUGAACGACCUAAAGUGAAAAGACGAAUUUGCGCGAUGGAGCUAGAGAAUGUUGAGGAGGGUGAGAGGGAUGCGGGCGUGUGCAUGCACGAGAGAAAGUUAGCGCUAGCUACAAAGAUAAGAGGAUUGUGUGGGUGUAAAAGACGAAUAGAGAUCAUACUUCACUAUAAAAAGUGAAUUCGGAUAUUUGUAGAAUUUAUCAUAGUGUUUUAAACCGACGCAUGUGUGAAUAUAUAUAACGGUGAUACACAUGGUGUGGUUAUGAACACAUAUAAUAUAUUUUAUCUCUACUUCUUAUAAAAAACGGAGUUGUUGAUGAUGGUGUGCCUGCCAUCCUGCAAUAUAGGCCGUCCGAUUUAUAUCUAGCGGGUAGGAAGGAAACUAUGGAAAUUUUGAAAAAAGAUACCCACACCCCUCUCCAUAUUUGUAAAUUAGCCCCCUUGAUCAUGUUGAUCUUCUGUGGAACGCAUGGGCAUCUUGCUAGUACUACGUAUAAUACAUAGAACAUUGAUUAUAAUUUGGGCUAAUGUGUGGCUUUUGCAGCUCAGGUCUAAAUACUUUUCAUAACGUACACGGUCGGGGCACUAUACUUUGUGUGAUAAACACAGUGUACAUAUAGAACAUGGUUUAGAUUAUGAAUAUAUAGUUAGUACAUCAAAUGUACUAUUAUUUGGAAUCAACAUCAAGUGUAUUCAAAAAAUACAAUUCGAGUUCAUGUAGUACACAUAGUUCAUAUCUAUCUCUAUAGUAAUCAUGUGGUGUGUUAUUAAGGUAAUACACGAAUGAUGUUUGAAGUUGGCAACAAUCAUGAUUGUAGAUUCUUAUUGAAAUAGAGAAACAAAUUGAAAUUUAGUUCGAAUUGCAACGGUAGUAUAGACAUUUGAAAUGCACAAAAAUGUUGGUAUGAGUAGGUUACAUGCAUUAUACAACAAGCGAAAAAAUUUAAUUGGACAUAACAUGGAUUCAUACUCCCUCCUUCCAUCUAUAUAGGGCAUAAUGAGUUUUUAAAGACCGCCUUUGACUAUUGACAAGAUUAAUAGUACAUGACAUGCACAAUGUGAAAAUUAUAUCAUUGAAAGAACCUUUCACAGACAGAUUUAACGGUGUGCUUUGUGUAAGUUGCAUGUCAUAUAUUAUUGCUCUAAUAUAUGGUCAGAGUUAGCAUCAAAAAAUGCAUUAGGCCCUAUAUAGAUGGAAGGAGGGAGUAGCUUUGAAUAGCAUUUGUAUAAUAAAAUGGGGCAAGACUCUCUAUUUGUGUGGUGUGAAUAGUUUAAUUUUUUUGUUUUCUUUUUGGUUGAGGGAAGUGCGAAUUGAUUUGGUACGUACAAGUACAAUAUUACUACACAAAUAGAGUUUCUUUUUGUUUCCUUUUUGUUUUCUUUACUUUGAUCUUCUUUCAUCCUUUGUGGGGUGCACCAGCGCACCCACUGGGUGUAGUCCCCAAGUUUCGGGCCGGCUGUUGAGCAGGCGGUCCGGAACUUCAUCUUGUCGGAAUUGAAUGUUGAUUUUGUCUGAUAUUCCCCUCUGCAGGACUACCACAACCUCCGCGAGAUGCCGACCGGCCAUCUGUCCGAGAGCCGGAGUAAGAUUCUAUUCCUUUCUUCCGUGGGGGCGCGCCAGCGCACCCGCGGGGUGUAGUCCCUGAGGUUCGGGCCGACUGCUGUGCAGUCGGGCCGAAUCUCCCCGGUUAGCUGCAUCCUUCUUUGUUAUUUGACUGAUGUUCUUCCAUCUCUUUCUUUCUUCAGAGGCCAAUGCCGCCUUGCAGCAGCAGCUGGGCGAAGCCAACACCGCCCUAAGAGGCAAGGAGGCAGAGUGCGGCAAGCUGGCCGAGGAGCGAGACCGCCUGGCCACUCAGCUUGCCGAACAUGCGGAGGCCCUCAAGGCGGCCCAGUUGGAGGUGAAGACGAAGGAGGCCGACCUCCUCGCUGAGUUUGAGGUCGAGCGCUCCGCCUGGGCCGACAAGGAAGCCCAGAUGACGGCCUGCUUCAGCAGCAUUGAAGACUUGGUCGAUGGUAAGCUUUAUUCUCUUGGUUUCUUGUUUCAAAUUGUCGGCCCAUAUCUAGGUCGAUCACUUGCUUAUAACUUUGGCCUUUUUCUUCUUCUGUCCAAACAGACUUCUUCCCGGGCCAUUCUGUUGCCGCAAUCCAGAUGAUCGAGGCCCAGCGCGAGGAGCAGAGGGCGGAGGGGAUGCAGAUCGCUGUUGAUGCCUCCCGGACUCUCAAUGAGCAGAUCCUCAGCAUCCAGGCCCGCCUUCGGCCUGCCUAUCAAAUGAUGCGUCGCCUUCAGCAUGUCAGCGCCCAGGCGGUUUCCGCCCUCUGGCCAGGCUUGCCGACUCCACGCACCCCAAGUCGGACUGCCGACUGGCUGGAGGUGGCAGUCGGCCGCCUGGAAGCCUGGAAAGGCUCAGCAGCACGGGCAGGAGCGCGCCGGGCCUUGGAAUUCGUCAAGGCAUGGUACCCUAGACUAGAUCUAGCCCAGUUAACCAUGUUCCGGCUGGUGGCGCAGGAAGAGCUGGCGGCGGUGGAAGCCGAGCUUAUCAAUAGGGCGGCGGCGAUCGCCGACUUCACCGACACCAACGUCUUCGUCCCGGAGGUGGUCGAGGAAGGCGCUGAAGCGCCGCAGGAGUGGCUCGGGCUGAACCCGGAGGACAGUGAAGAUUCAACUGAAGUCAUCGACUCCAGUGAUGAAGGGGAAGACGGGGAGGAGGAGAAGGCGGAGGAGGAGGAGAAGGAGGAGGAGGAGGAGGAGGAGGAGGAGGAGAGCGACGUCGACCUGCCGGAGGUCAGGGUGGACGGUCAGCCCCAGCCUGACCGGGCCUCAAGCAACGAGCCGUGCACCAAGGUGCCGACUGCUACUGGAGAUGGCCAGGUGGGGGUCGACCAGCCACCCGUUCCUCCGACAGAUGCCACUGACUUCGUCCUCCAACCCUCCGCCGUCUCGACUGCCACUGCCGACUCCUCUGCUCAGACGGAGCCGCCUGCCACGCCAACCGGCACCGGCCAGCCGGAGCCUUCUACUGCACCAACCGGCACCGCCCAGCCGGAGCCUUCUGCUGCACCAACUGGCACCGCCCAGCCGGAGCCUUCUGCUGCUCCUUAGGAUUUAUUCUUUUCCCAUGUUUGCUAGAGUCUUGGACAAUCUUGGUUAAAUUUCGCAAUUCCACCCGCGGGGUGUAUGUUCGAACUUUGUUUGAAUGCCGGCCAGUAGGCCUUUAUCCAUGUAAAUAUUCUAUCACUUGUUUAUGCUUGAUGUGCCGUCUUUUGACUUUUCUUGCCUUUUGCUCCUUGGUUUAUUUCUUUGCCGCCCUCCCUUGGCUAUCCUCUUGCCAGCCAAGCAACCGCUCUGCGGACUGCGGCUGGGUUGAGUACUUAGUUGUUUGUGGGAGGGCUAGUACUUAGCCAUUCGGAGUGUUGGCAAUAAAAGCAGAAGCAGGCCGACCGCCUGCUCGACGGCUGGACGACUAGGUGCGAUGCCGGCUUCCACUAUAUGCAUAUCUUCCUUAGUCAUUUUUCGUGUGGGGCACCAUUUUGCAACCCCUGCCCGCCAUACAGUCGCUCUGCAAGCUGUGCCUUCUGACAUAGGAAGUUUUGGUGCCGACACACUACUUGCCCGGCUGUAGGAGGAGGCAUAUAGCGGAAGGCGGCGAGCCUCCGGGCCGACUGGUCGAACCCGGUAUCAGGCAUGAUGAUGUUAGUCAUAUCAUGCAUAUGUUGCCUUGCAGUGCCUACUUUUGACAUCAUAUAUGUCAUCUGCUUAGUUUAGAAAUGUUCUGUAAUGCCACCUGUUUAGUUUCUAUAUCAUAUAUGGGAAUUAUGCAGUCUUAUGUCUUUUAGCCAGCCAUAAUAUAUGUAAAAUGUGCAAUGCCAUCCUGUUUAACCAAGCAUCAUAUAUUUGAAUGAUAUCUUGCCCAUCCUUUUCUUCAUUACAUUUCCAUUUGUCGACAAUGUUUGUACAUUAAACUACUCUUCCUGUGAAUCAGCCAUUUGGGUGGGAGAUGGAAAAAUCUGGAGUGAAAACAAGGCCUUCAGAGCACACAGUGCAACCUGUCGAAGCAGAUCUCUUGUUGGGUCCCGAUAGCUCCUUAGAGAUGGAUUCAGAGACAUAUGACCAGUCCUAUUCCCCCACCGAGGUGUAUGCUCUAACUUGGCAUGGUUAUACUGCUCAUAUCAUGCAUAUGAUGUCUUGCAUUGCAUAGUUUAGACAUCAUAUACACAAUAUUCAACACCAUGUUCUUAGUUCAGACAUCAUAUUGAAUGCCCUCUGUUUAGCAUAUAAAUCACAUAUGUGAAUUAAAUGAUGCGAUCAUUAGUACUUAGAUAACAUUUAGGUGAAUUAUGUCAUGCGAUCCUAUUUAGUUAUUCAUCAUAUCUUCGAAUUAUGUUAUGCUAUGCUACCCAGUUUAGAUAGACAUCAUAUAUGUGAAAUUAUGUCAUGCUAUCCGUUUUAGUUAAACAAUAUACAUGUCAACUAUUUCAUGCCCUCUUUUUUCCACACUAUCUAUUGCAUCUGUCUCUCAUACAAUGUCUGUACAUUCAACUAUGUUUCCUGUUUAACAACAAUUUGAAUUGGAGCGGGUGAUGCCAGUAUCUAGCGGACUAAAAACACGGUCUUCAAAUAAAAUAGUGCUACCUCUUGGUGGAGAUAGCACCCCGGUUGUACAUGCACCAGAACCAGCCCUACCACACAUAACCCAAACUCUCGCAGAUUGUACCCCUACUGCGAUGGACAGAGAACCAGCUUCACCCAAUCUAGCCCCAACCCCAAACGAUAGUAACCCAGUUCCUGUUGACACAACACCAUCUCCACCACAUAGCUCCCAAACAAGAGCAGUUAGUAAGGCAGCUCUAGUGCCCAAAGGGCUAGUACUAUCAUGGCGAACACCAACUCCACCAGUUAGUACACCUAUUCCUGUGGAGGAAGCACAACCAGCUAGUCGUAGUUUAGCAUCUAUCGCAUUUGAUAUUGUUAAAUCGUAUGUGCAUAUCUUCCCAUCUUGGAAAUAUUAUACUGAAGAUGAAGGAAAAUGCCAGUUGCAGGUGUUUGUCCAGGAGUUAUGUGUAAGUAAUGUUAUUCAUGGCAAUUACUUUGCUUUGUCCCAUACAUCCUACCUCCAUGAUGGUUACAAUACAACAAAUUUUCCCAAUUUUCUCUAUAGAGAAGGACCGAUUUGGAAACUCAGGAUGAGGUAACCUGUGCUAAUACCUCUGCUAUCUUCAAGAAUAUUUGGUGGCAGUAUCGGAAUUACCUGAAGAAAAUGUACUUCACCGGCAAAGAAACUCAUCAAAUUCCCUUACGUUCUCCUGAGACACGUUUACUGGAUGAUGACUGGGAACGCCUUAUUCUGUACUGGUCCCGACCCAAGAAUGUGGUAAGGUUUAUGAGCUCAUUUUCUAUUUUUAAGUAUUAUAUUCUUGCGUCUUACUGUACUCUGUUCAUGUAGAACAAGUGACUAAACCUGAAGAACAACUACUCUAAUUUAAGAUUCCAUAGCUAUCAUAGUUCAAAAACGCUCUAGGCGUCAAUUGUGCGUUUUGCCACCGCCUUGCGCUUUGCUGACCAAAGUGCAUGCUUAUGCACAGUUAUGCACAGAUUAAGCGUAGUUAUGCGCAAUGCGUUUUGCCAACGCCUAGAGCCUAGGCGCGCUUAAGCGCUCGCUUAGGCGCGCCUUUUUUAACUAUGAUUGCUUUGCUCUUGUAUCACUGUAUUUACUCAUACAAACUUAUUUUUAAAUUGUAGGAUCCAAUCGAAACUCCAAUGGCACAGCAGGUAUGUUCACGCAUGUUUCUUUAACAGGUUUGCUCUUAUCAAUAGCUCUGUUGAUUUCAAUUUCAAUUGUGUAUAUAGUUGACUUUCAUAUCAUGCACAUUACUAGCAUCACAACAGAGCCAAUAGUGUUGUUGUACAUGUAGACCCGUGGUACCCAUCCGAAAUCUUGUUGUGCCGUGUAGUUUCCCACGCUUUGCAUUCUUUCACUGCUGCUUUGUCUUGAACUGAUAUGAUUUUAACCGUGUCUCUAUUUUGAUUUGGCAAGAGAAUGCAGUGACCAUAGGACAUAUAUAUAUGUUUGUUUGAUGCUUUUAUUAUGUACUAGUACUUGGCAAUAGAAGACUUGGUAGUUUAAUCCUGUCCACCUUACUAAUGAACUGGUUCACCGAAAUGAGUUUCAUAUACUAGUACACGCUAAACUUGUGAUGUGUCUGCUUGUUUAUUCUUUUAGAAUGCUGACGGAAUAUUGGAGAAGAGUGCCUUAUUAAGCAAUGGUAAAGGAAGUAAUGCAGAUAAGGUUCGGGAUAGUGACACAUCCUUGUUGGUCUCCAACAAAGCUGAUAAAAUAGCUAAGGAAUACUAUCUUGAAGACAACGAGACAACCCCAAAGUCGUGUAUUGGUUUAGUGUUCGAGUUACUAGCCACUACCGCUUGCACAAGCUAUUCAAACUCGCUGUCUGAAUCAGUUCGGUUUCUUGAGUCUCAACUACAAGCUGAAAGACAUCGAUCAGCUAUGCUGCGACAAGAAGCGGAAGGACUGCGGAAGUCCCUGGAUCAUUCAGAUGCAUACUUUCUGGUGCAAUAACAAGCGUUGGAGGAUUUUAGCGCCAAAUAGGACAAAGCUAAUAAGCUUGCUAAGCUUAUUGCCAGCAUGGUGGAUACCCAGGAUAACGUUUCUUGAGCUCUUCUGAAGUUGUUUUAGUUAUGCUCUUGUUUUGCUGCCACGUUUAUUUGCACUGGUGGCCAAUUUUGACGGCUAGUGUAUGUAAUAUGCUGCUUUGUUCGCUAUAUUUGCACUGGUGAGAACUUUGAUGCCCAGUGGAUGUAAUAUGUGUAAUAGCGGUAAUAGGCUAGCGUUAGUUGCUUGCUUAUUUAUUUCCUUAUUGUCUUGUUUAGUUGUUUGCUUGUAGUCACUGCUGUUCUUUUUCUGUGAUUUUCUAGUGGACACAAUAGCCUAUUUUUGGUAACUAGGCCUAAAUAAUCAUGGCAACACACGGACUGUUGUAAACAUGGGCCUCCUGCAGGCCGUAUGAUCCAUGAGCCUUCUUCGGGCCAUAGGAUCGGCCUUCUAUAUGGGCUGAAGGAUCCAUCAGCCUUCUAUACGGGCCUUAGGAUCCAUGGGCCUUCUACGGGCCAUAGGGUCCAUGGGCCUUCUACGGGCCGUAUGAUCCAUGGGCCUUCUACGGGCUGUACGAUCCAUGGGCCUCAUACGGGCCAUAGUAUCCAUGGGCCUUCUACAGGGCGUAUCAUCAUUUCGCCAAUAUGGGCCGUACUAUUCGUGGACCACAACGGGCCGUUAAUAGGACGUAUUGUAUAACUCUAUGAAAACAGCCCAACGGGUUUUUUUGGACAUGAAAACGACCCAACGUAUUAACGGUCCACAAACGGGCCGACUGUAAUGACGGGCUGAAUUUGGCCCACAAGCAGAAAAUGACAGUAACAGGCUGUAUGUAACCGAAUGCUGCAAAUGAGCCCAAGAAUCAUUGGGCCCUCAGAAGGCCGAAAGAUAACUUGGUCUAGAAAUGGCCCAAUGGAAUAACGGGCCGUUAAUGCGUAUAAAGUGAUACACUAUUCAUGACAGGCCAGUUUCACCACGAGCCGUUAAUGGGCCAAGAGUUACAAAGGGCCUCAUAUGGGCCGAAAUAAGUCAUGGGCCACAGAUGGGCCGGAAGUUAAAACGGGCUAGAACCAUAUUGGAUGACCCAGACGAUGCUACUGGGCCUAAUUCAGAGAGGUAAUAACGGGCCCUGGGUUAGCGGGCUCUAAAUGGGCUAUAUGCGAACGUGCCAUUAACAGGCUUUCCAUGGGCCAGCUCGACACCUUUUGACCAAGUCAAAUGGGCCGGCCUUUUGACAGGAAUGGUCCUAUGUUGGGCCGUGCCACGUGUCGCCGUAUCAUAGGCGCGUUCGGUCCACUGAGUGGAUGACAUCUGUCCCAACGGUGAGCCGACACGUGUUUCCUCCAGCCAAUGAUGAUUUUACAUGUGGAAAAUCCCCAUUGGUCGGGCCUGUUAAUGGGUUGUCGGAUCCAAAACCGGACUAGAUAGCUUAACGGUGUUCCAUUAUGGUGGAUGCCACGUGUAGGUCACCCUUGAUGAAAGUACUUCUGUGACGCGCGAUUUAUCGUCAUGGAAGUGGACACUUCCGUGAUGAUAAUUUUGGUAAUCUCAUGGAACACUUCUACGAUAGCGCAAGUGUGACUAUAUUGAUUCUGUCUUAAAAUCGUCAUGGAUGUACAUGCAUGACAAAAAGCGCGACCUACUGUGACAAACACGUAUCAUCACGGAAGUAUAUUUUUUCGUAGUACCAUCUACUACCUUUUGGAGAGUGGUGUGUCCUAGAUUGGUUAGGUGUCACUUGGGAGCCUCCAUCAAGAUUGUGGAGUUGAACCAAGGAGUUUGUAAGGGCAAGGAGAUCGCCUACUUUGUGAAGAUCUACCCUACUGAGGCAAGUCCUUCGUGGGCGAUGGCCAUGAUGGGAUAGGCAAGGUUGCUUCUUCGUGGACCCUACGUGGGUGGAGCCCUCGUGGACUCGUGCAGCCGUUACCCUCCGUGGGUUGAAGUCUUCAUCACCGUGGAUGUGCGAUAGCACCACCUAUCGUAACCAUGCCAAAAAUGUAUGUGUCAACAUUGCGUUUGCUCCCUCCAAACUCCCCCCAUUUACUUUCUUGCAAGUUGCAUGCUUUACUUUCUGCUGCUCAUACAUUCUUUGCAUGCUUUCUUGAAUUGUAUUGUGAUUGCUUGACUUGUGCUAAGUUGCUAAAAUCUGCCAAGAACUAAAAUUGGGAAAAUGUUAAGUUUUAUUUGGUCAAGUAGUCUAAUCCCCCCUAUAGACAUACUUUCGACGCUACAAGUGGUAUUAGAGCUUUGGUCUCCAUUUGCUUUGAUUUCCAUAGCUUUGGUGAUCAUAGCCUUGGUUUCACAACCUAGGAGAGUAUGACAUCUAGCGAGGGAAUUUGCCACCGUAGAGGUCCUUACUUUGAUGGUACUAAUUUUGCUAGUUGGAAACAUAAGAUGAAACUGCAUAUUCUUGGACAUAACCCCGCUGUUUGGGGUAUUGUGUGUAUUGGCUUGCAAGAUGAAUUCUUCGAUGGGAGAGAACCAAACCGUGAAGCUACAGCGGAAGAAUUGAAGAUGUUGCAAUACAAUGCUCAAGCUUGAGAUAUUCUAUUCAAUGGAUUGUGCCCAGAAGAAUUCAACAAAAUCAACCGUCUUGAGAAUGCAAAGGAAAUUUGGGAUAAUUUGAUUGAUAUGCAUGAAGGUACCGACUCCGUCAAGGAAUCCAAGUUGGAUGUGCUUCAAAGUCAACUUGACAAGUUCAAAAUGAAGGAUGGUGAAGGUGUUGCCGAAAUGUACCCCAGGCUUGCUCUCAUGACAAAUGAGAUAGCCGGCUUAGGAAGUGAAGAGAUGACCGACAAAUUCAUCAUCAAGAACAUCUUGAGUGCCUUGUAUGGAAAAUAUGACACCGUGUGCACAUUGAUCCAAAUGAUCCAAAUUACAAAGAUCUCAAGCCAACCGAAGUCAUUGGCAGAAUAGUUGCUCAUGAGAUGUCACUCAAGGAUAAAGAAGAGCUUCACAAAAAGUCUAGCGGUGCUUACAAAGCCUCAUGUGAUGCUCCUACAUCAUCAAGUGAGAAACAAGCCUUCAAUGAAGAAUUGAGCUUAAUGGUGAAGAACUUCAACAAAUUCUACAAGAGUAGAAGCAAGGAAAGAAGUUCCAAGUCAAGGUCCUACAAUGACAAAAGAUCUUCUAGUCGUGAGAGGAACUGCUACAAUUGUGGAAGUCCCGGACACUACUCCAAUGAGUGUACGGCUCCCUAUAAAAGAAGAGAAGACUCACCUAAAACAAGAAGCAAAAGGGAAGAAUCACCUCCAAGAGAGAGGAGUAGAGACGAUCGUUAGGAACGAAGAACCUCUUGAAGAAGCAAGGAUUCAGAAAGGAAGGACAAGUCAUCAAUGAGCUACACAAAAUGAAGACAUCAAACUCAUGUUGGUGAAUGGGUAUCCGGCUCCGACUCCGACCAGUACUCCGAGAGAAGUUAUCACUCCGACUCCGAAUAUACUCAAGAUGAAGGUGUUGAUGGUCUAGCACUUGUGUCAACCAACUCCUACGACAUAUUUGACUCACCAAAUGAAGGAAUUGGGAGAUGCUUGAUGGCUAAAGGCCCCAAGGUAACACACCCCGACACUACAAAAAAUACACUUCCGUGAUGAUACAUGUUUGUCACAGUAGGUCACAUUUUCUGUCAUGCAUGUACAUCCAUGCCGAUUUUAUGACAGAAUCAAGAUAGUCAUACCUGUGUUGUCAUAGAAGUGUUCCAUGACAUUACCAAAAUUAUCAUCAUGGAAGUGUCCACUUCCAUGACAAUAAAUUGCGCGUCAUAGAAGUGCUUUCGUCAAGGGUGACCGACACGUGGUGUCCACCGUAACGGAACGUCAUUAAGCUAUCGGGUCCAGUUUUGGAUCUGAUAACCCGUUAACAGCCCCGACCAAUGGGGAUUUUCCACGUGUAAAAUCAUCAUUGGCUGGAGGAAACACGUGUCGGCUCACCGUUGGGACAGAUGUCGUCCACUCAUUGGGCCCAUGGAGCCUAUGAUACGUCAACACGUGGCACGGCCCAACAGAGGCCCAUUCCUGUGAAAAGGCCGGCCCGUUUGACUUGGUUAAAAGGUGGCGGGCCAGCCCAAGGAAAGCCUGUUAAUGGUCUGUUCGCAUAUAGCCCAUUUACAGCCCGCUAACCUAGGGCCCGUUACGACCUCACCAAAUUAGGCCCAGUAGCGUCAUCUGGGACGUCCAAUAUGAUUCCAGCCCAUUUUAACUUCCUGCCCAUGUAUGGCCCAUGACGACUUUCAGCCCAUAUGACGCCCUUUGUAACUCUUGGCCCAUUAACGGUCCGUGGUGAAACUGGCCCGUAAUGAACAGUGUAUCACUUUAUACCCAUUAAUGGCCCAUUAUUCCAUUGGGCUGUUUCCAGCCCAAGUUAUCUUUCGGCCUUCUCAGAGCCCAUUUAUUCUUCGGCUCAUUUCUAGCAUUUGGUUACUUACGACCCGUUACUGUCAUUUUCUUCUUGUGGGCCAAAUUCAGCCCGUUAUUACAGUCGGCCCGUUUGUGGCCCGUUAAUACGUUGGGCCGUUUUCAUGUCCAAAAAACUCGUUGGGCUGUUUUCAUAGAGUUAUCAAAUAUGGCCUAUUAACGACACGUUAUGGUCCAUGAAUAGUACGGCUCAUGAUUGGUGAAAUGAUAAUAUGCCCCGUAGAAGGCCCAUAAAAGGCCCAUGGAUCAUACGACCCGUAGAAGGCCCAUGGAUCGUAUGGCCCGUAGAAGGCCAAUGGAUCCUACAGCCCGUAGAAGGCCAAUGGCUCAUACGGCCCGUAGAAGGUCCAUGGCUCGUACGACCCGUAGAAGGCCCAUGGAUCGUACGGCCCGUGGACGGCCCAUGGAUCGUACGACCCGUAUGGAAGGCCAAUGGAUCCUACGGCCCACAGGAGGCCCAUGGUUACAACAGCCCGUGUGUUGCCAUGAUUAUUUUGGCCUAGAUUCCAAAAAUAGGUUAUUGUGGCCACUAGAAAAACACAGAAAAAGAACUAUAGUGACUACAAGCAAACAACUAAACAAGACAAUAAGGAAAUAAAUAAGCAAGCAAUUAAUGCAAGCCUAUUACCGCUAUUACACAUAUUACAUCCACUGGGCAUCAAAGUUCGCCACCAGUGCAAACAUAGCGAACAAAGCAGCAUAUUACAUAAACUGGCCAUCAAAGUUGGCCACCAGUGCAAAUAAACGUGGUAGCAAAACAAGAGCAUAACUGAAACAACUUCAGAAGAGCUCAAGAAACGUUAUCCUGGGUAUCCACCAUGCUGGUAAUAAGUUUAGCAAGCUUAUUAGCUUUGUCCUGUUUGGCGCUAAAAUCCUCCAACGCUUAUUGUUGCACCAGAAAGUAUGCAUCUGAAUGCUCCAGGGACUUCCGUAGUCCUUCCGCUCCUUGUCGCAGCACAGCUGAUCGAUGUCUUUCAGCUUGUAGUUGAGACUCAAGAAACUGAACUAAUUCAAACAAUGAGUUUGAAUAGCUUGUGCAAGCAGUAGUGGUCAGUAACUCGAACACUAAACCAAGACAUGACUUUGGGGUUGUCUCACUGUCUUGAAGAUAGUCUUCCUUAGCUGUUUUAUUAGCUUUGUUGGAGACCAACAAGGAUGUCUCACUAUCCUAAACCUUAUCUGCAUUACUUCCUUUACCAUUGCUUAAUAAGGCACUCUUCCCCAAUAUUCUGUUAGCAUUCUAAAAGAAGAAACAAGCAAACACAUAACAUGUUUAGCAUGUACUAGUAUAUGAAACUCAUUUCGGUGAACCAGUUCAUUAGUAAGGUGGACAGGAUUAAACUACUAAGUCUUCUAUUGCCAAGUACUAGUACAUAAUAAGAGCAUCAAACAAACAUAUAUCCAUGUCCUAUGGUCACUUCAUUGUCUUGCCAAAUCAAAAUAGAGACACGGUUCAAAUCAUAUCAGUUCAAGACAAAGCAGCAGUGAAAGAAUACAAAGCGUGGGAAACUACACGACACAACAAGAUUUCAGAUGGGUACCACGGGUCUACAUGUACAACAACACUAUGGGCUCUGUUGUGAUGCUAGUAAUGUGCAUGAUAUGAGAAGUCAACUGUAUACACAAUUGAAAUUGAAAUCAACAGAACUAUUGAUAAGAGCAAACCUGUUAAAGUAACAUGCGUGAACAUACUUGCUGUGACAUUCGAGUUUCGAUUGGAUCCUUCAAUUUAAAAAUAAGUUUGUAUGAGUAAAUAUAGUGAUACAAGUGCAAACCAGUAUGCACGAUAGCAAUCAUAGUUAAAAAAGGCGCACCUAAGCGAGCGCUUAAGCGCGCCUAGGCUCUAGGUGUUGGCAAAACGCAUUGCGCAUAACUACGCUUAAUCUGUGCAUAACUGUGUGCAUAAGCAUGCACUUUGGUCAGUAAAGCGCAAGGCAGUGGCAAAACACACAAUUAACGCCUAUCGCUUUUUUGAACUAUGAUAGUAAUGGAAUCUUAUAUUAGAAUAGUUGUUCUUCAGGUUUAGGCACUUGUUCUACAUGAACAGAGUACAGUAAGACGUAAGAAUAUAGUACUUAAAAUAGAAAAUGAGCUCAUAGACCUUACCACAUUCUUUGUUCGGGACCAGUACAGAACAAGGCGUUCCGAGUCAUCAUCCAGUAAAUGUGUCUCAGGAGAACGUAAGGGAAUUUGAUGAGUUUCUUUGCCGGUGAAGUACGUUUUCUUCAGGUAAUUCCAAUACGGCCACCAAGCAUUCUUGAAGAUAGCAAAGGUAUUAGCACAGGUUACCUCAUCCUGAGUUUCCAAAUCGGUCCUUCUCUAUAGCGAAAAAUGGGAAAAUUUGCUGUAUUAUAACCAUCAUGGAGGUAGGAUGUAUGGGACAAAGCAAAGUAAUUGUCAUGAAUAACAUUACUUACACAUAACUCCUGGACAAAUACCUGCAACUGGCAUUUUCCUUCAUCUUCAGUAUAAUACUAGCGGGUAGUGCACGGCGGCACGCCGCGCCACAUGGAUUAAUUAGCUAUUUUGUAUUUUUGUAUUAUUUGGUAAGUUGUCCCAAGACCCGAUUCAUGGCAAAGUAGUUCAUGCAAGGAGAAGGUACAUCCAGUUGGUAUAUGCAUAUGUGAUGUCUGGACGCAGAAUUGUGAAGCUCUUGUUCUCUUCUUAGACCAGACAUGUUGAUCCUUCAGCUGGGUUUCGCUGAUAGUUUUUGAGUUGUUAGAUGAAUUUUGUUCUAAAACUCUGUGCUAGUUUUCAUGAAUUUCGUUGUGAAACUUUAUGCGAUAUACACAAAAUCGUAUACAACUGCAGUUUGUUUUGAAACUUUACGCUAUAUACACAAAAUCAUAUGCAACUACAGAAGUUCCUGUCAAUUGAAAUGUAGAUGUGAUGGUAAAAGGCCACGGAAGAAUGUAGUAUAUUUUAAAUAUUUCUAACUUGAUUACAAAAUGGUAAAACAAAUAUCUUGGGAAGUGGUUAAGACUUCACAAACCUCGACUGCUACAAUAUGUCAAAUUUUCUCAAAGCUAACUUACAUGAGAAUAAAUGUAACCAUCAAUAUUCCAUACGAUUGUUCUCGUUCUUUUGUGCUCUAGAUUAUCUUACCUUUUUUCCGCAUGCUCUAUAUAUUGCAAAAUAAAAAAAAACUGACGCUAUUGCGCUGACGUUCGGCCAGACCCUCCCGCACGCGGCACAGUCCUGACCGCACAUCUUCUCAUGGUGUGUGCCUAGCUAGCUGCACUUGGACUGCACCGAGCGGUGGUGUGGCUAUGGACUGAGAUCCACUAUUCCCGAAUCUGUGUAGCUUCUCGAAUCUCCCUGCCUAUUCCCCACCUCCACCAUUCCCCGUUCUCCCUAGCUCAUUUGUUCCUUGCAUUGCCGGCUCAACGCCGCCCCUCGCCGUGGCUCCUGCGUCUCCUCUCAGCCCGGAGUAGGAAUUGAGUGGUCCUCACCUGCGCAGCACGCCUCGGCGAGGUACGUGGUUGUCUCGAGGUAGAGGGUGGCUUAGAGAGGGAGAAGCCGGCAGACAAUGUCAUGAGCUCAGAAGAAUAGGAGGAAGCGAGGCCGCGUGAGGCAGAGGAGAAGAAGCAAUCGAGUGCUCCUCGCUUGCAAGUGAGGCCGCCAAAGCCCGAGGAGAAGAGGAAGCGGCAAGGUAGGGCGUGGUGGUGGCGGGAUCUCCGACAUGCUCACCAUUGGGGAGUGGCGGCGGUCAGAGCUAGCUAGGCGCGGCAAGUCCCCAUGAGAGGUUCACGGUUCAGAUUUCAGACCAUUCACAAGCCGUGCAGGUACCUACUCACCCAAGUGCUACAUCUCCAUGUGUCUAAUCCCCAUUUUUCAGCUAACUGCAAUUCUCACACCAUGUUGGCCCGCGGUUCGACAUGGGACGUUUUGUGCUUCAUCAAGAGCUUCUGCACAGUGAGCCUGACAAAGACGGCCGUCAUGCUUUCCUCCCCUGUCAAGGUAAGCUACAUCAAUAGAAACACACAAAUUGUAUAAGCCUGCUUACAUUACAUAUCAUAUAAUAAACGCAAUCGAUCCUAGUGUUCACCGUUGAUAUGUGAUAGAACACCAGCAGAAGAGGUGUGAAUUUGUUCUUGUUUGCAGUAUCUGUUUUGUUGCGCUUCACAUGUAACAAUACAUUGGCAACUAAAUAUAUAUUUUUUGCCAUGACUAACUAUAUGCAUCAUUAUACAUGCAGCUUUCUCUAGCCAUAGUUUUUUUUUGCUAAUUCAUAAAGCAAUACAUAGAUUGAAAGGUUAUUGCACAACGGAACAGUAGAAGAAUGAGAAUUGGAGGGUAUUGAGUUCACAGAAAAUCUGAGUGGCGAUGCAAACACAAAUGGCUUAAAAGAGCAAACUGUGCUUGGCUAUGAAAAGAGAGGAGCAAAACUGUAGACUGCGACAUACAAUCACAGCUCGAAUUCACAUUCAUACAGAAGAGUGAGAAAUCACCCUGUACAGUUUCAAUCACAGGAACCUACUUCCAGUCGUAUAUUGCUGAAAUCAUAGGACAGUAAACUAUAUCUCUAGCCUCACAUGACUUCGGGAGCAACUUCAUUCCAUAGUGAGGCAGAAGUCACAGAUGUUUCUAUAUAUGCAUUUACUGAAUGGAUGAGCUUUGUCCAGAAUUACCCUGCAAGUGGUACAACUCCAGUACCAAGUCUAACAAUAUAGUAGUGAAGAAUCAUAAAAUCAGAGCACACUGGAGCCUGCGUUGUUCUUGAUAGCACAUACCUCAAGUAGAAUAGCCCCUUCCAUCUGGCCACUUUGUAGGUUGACUGAUUUGUGAGAGCUCUGCAAAAAAUAGAAGGGUUUUAGCCAAACAUGCAUUAGAGACAAAACAUAGUUGCCCGUCGCGACAGAGGUGGAGCCGCCAAGGAGCGGGGGUAGCCCAAGCCCGAGCGUCCAGGCCGUGCCCUGCCGCGUCGGCGACGUUGUGGCACUCCUUGGAGAGACGAGGGCGUCCGCUGUGGCUGGCCGCAACGUGGCCGUGUGCCACGAACGGGCGCCCGGCGAGGAUGGUCUGACCGCGGAUCCUGCUCCCGCAUGGUCCACGGGGUUGACGCCCGGGUUGAGCGCCCGACGACGACUCCGCGGGGGGCCGUUGCGCCGGAGCCGCCUACCGCGCAGGUUGAGCUGGAGGGUGCGCCGAAGAGCGGGCGGAGUCCGAGCGCCCUGGCCGUGUGGCUGUGCUCCGCCACGUCGGAAACGGCGUGGCACUCGGUGCAGACACGGCACCUUCCGCUGUUGUUGGCGGCGAUGAGGGAGGGGCGCCCAUCGAGGAGGGGCCCGGCCGUGGGGAUGGCGGAUCCCGCCCGGGCCAUCGGUGUGACGACGGCGAUAGGAAGGGCAUGCCACGGUCUGAGUUCCACCGAGGAAGCACAACAGAGAUGGGGCGAGGUUGGAGGGAUAGGUUGUGUAUGCAGCUGGGUUUCACGUACCUGCGGAAAAGAACGGCCGUCUCCAGCGCCGGGAGCGUUCGCCAGCAGUGGCAGAUACAUGUCACGUGCUCACCGCUUGCCCCCAUGGCAGCGCCGUCCGGCUGCUCAGCCCACCCGCCCUCCAAUUGAUUGGGUGUUCCUCCAAUCCUCCUCAUGUGCAGCAUAGCGCGGCUUUGUCAGCCAGUAGCGCCGGCACCUUGGGUACCCGGCUGCGACCGUCCCAUGCUCUGUAUGCACAUCAUUCUUUCUGCAUCUUUCUCUUUG